UUAUAUAUAUGUUAGUAUAACAUUAGAUUAAAUAUACGCUAAUAUAUAUAUAUAUAUAUAUAUUAGUCUCGAUUUAAAAAUAUAGAUCUUAGAUCAAUUUAAUAUAUAUAUACUACACAAAUCCUUUAUGUAUAGAUGGAGAUAUGAUAUUUGUAUUACUGAUGUUUAAUGUUAAUUAACGAAAUAAUUAGAAUAUCAUGGCACAUUUGUAACUAAUCUAGUAAUAUUUGGAUAAUUAAUUGUUUAAAUCAUAAAAUUCUGUGAACACGACACGUCAGCGUGGCAAUCUUGUAAAUCACACGGAGGGGCAAGGUUUUUUAUUAAUAAUGCUUCUCAAUUAAUAUAUAAUGGAUAAUAUCAUAAUUUUACUAUAUUAUUUCAAACGUCAUUCCUAAUACAAAUAUUUUGCUUUACUAAAAAAAUGUUACAAAAAUGCGUUUCAUAAAACAUUUAAGUUUAUAAGUUCAAAUAUUGUAAUAUAUAUGAACUAAAUCAUAUUAUAACUUUAUAUAUAUAUAUAUAUAGUAAUAUAAAUGUAUAUAUAUAUAUAUUGAAACUUAUAGUAACCUAUAUUUACUACACAUUAAUCAUACAUAUUAUUAAUAUAUGUUCCUUUUUGUAACCGAUUAUUUUUCGUAAGCAAAUUACACAUCAAAAAGAUAAAAUUUAAAACUACGGCACUCUAAUAUCAGUAUUAUACUAACAACACAUGCUUCUAUAUACCAAAUAUAGAUCACACAUUAACAUAAUAUAACUUUUAAAAUACCAAUAUUUUAUAAGAUCAAAUAGUUUUAAAAAGAAAAAAAAUCAGAAAUACAUGAUUUUAUGUUGUCAGCGCGGAUCAAAAACACCUUGUAGAAAAUUAGAGGAUAUUGGUUUUGCUUAUUUUACUAAAUUAAAUUAGGAUUAUUGGAGGGUAUUAUAGACUUUCGUACUACAUUUACAACUAUAAAUACCCUUCCACUUCUAUGGGUUUCUUUGCAACAUAUACUCAUUUCUCUGAGUAGGUGACCCCAUAAAGAAAAUCAUUUCCUCAGAGUCAUAGACCAAAGUCCAAACAAUGGAAUUCAAUUGUGUUCAUUUUCUUCAAAACAAGACGAUUCUUGUCACAGGAGCAACCGGUUUCCUUGCCAAGGGUAGGUCCUUUUGGUUAACUCCCACCAAUUAACUUACGUCCAAAAUGUUCUUCAAGAUUCGUUAGCCUGACGUAGUAACUAGAAAGAUUGUUCGAGUUCUCAUGAUGAUGUCUAGAAAAAUAAUAAAAAUUAAAAAAAAGAUUACUUUAAAAUCUUUGAUGUCUCCUUCUGUUGUGUUUAACUGUUUUUCAGCUCGUGGGUUCCUUAGAAUAUUAAAUAUAUUAUUUCCUAGUGACAACCAAUCGGAUUAUUAUUAAUAUUCACUAAUAUUUUUUAGUUUUUGUGGAGAAAAUUUUGAGAGUACAACCAAAUGUGAAUAAGCUGUACCUCGUGGUGAGAGCAUCCGACACUGACGCCGCGACGAAACGCUUACGCACAGAGGUUUGUUUUUAUACCAACAAACCUUAUUUUUGUACUAUCUAAUACAUAUUCGUUUUGCUGAAGUAUAUUCAUGAAUAUACAAUUAGAUAUUUGUUCAUCUGAUUAGCUGAAGUAUAUACAUAUGAUAGGCCUUCGAGAAAGAUCUUUUUAAGGUGUUAAGGGAGAGUCUUGGCGAUGAAAAUUUCAAUACAUUGUUGUCCGAAAAAGUUGUCCCGGUCGCAGGUGAUAUUGCGAUGGAUCAUUUAGGCAUGAAGGACUCUAAACUCAGAGAACGUAUGCAAAAAGAAAUCGAUAUUGUUGUUAAUGUGGCAGCCACAACUAAUUUUGACGAGAGGUACUAGCUACAAGACAUUUCUAAUAUAACAUUUCUAGUUUUCCUUUUGUUUUAUCUCUAAUAAAAUGUAAAUUUAAUAUAUACAUGUGAAAAAGAUAUGAUGUUGGUCUUGGAAUUAACACAUUUGGAGCUCUCAAUGUCCUUAACUUUGCCAAAAAAUGUGUUAAAGCUCAAUUGCUUCUCCAUGUUUCAACUGGUGAGUCUUUUUUUAAUUUCUAGCCAUUCCUCUAAAAAAAAAUUGUUAAAUUAUUUCCUUGUUUCUAUUUUUCUUCAUUUCUUUUUGUUUUUAAUGGGAUUAUAUCUUUUUUAUUGGAAGUUCCCUUAAAACACUAUCUUAUUAUGCUAUCAAAAUUUGUUAUAUUUUUUAACUAACUCAAGUUGGAAUUGGAAAAGUACAUUUAUUUUAUGAUGUUUAUAAAUUUAUCGAAAUUUCAAUAAAUUUCUCUGUAUUCAAAUUAUUUCACUCUUCAUAUGGUUCUUAAAAGCUUUAGUCUUACUUCUUUUUUGUCUCUAGCUUAUGUUUGUGGAGAGAAGCCAGGUCUCCUACCUGAAAAACCAUUUGUCAUGGAAGAGAUUCGUAACGAGAAUGAUUUUCAAUUGGAUAUACACCGUGAAAGGGAGCUGAUGAAGCAAAGAUUGAAAGAACUCAAUGAACAAGAUUGUUCAGAAGAAGACAUUACUCGCGCCAUGAAAGAACUCGGCAUGGAAAGGUGAGUGUUGUUGAUGAUUGAAAUAUCUAUAUUACUCAUCAGAAUGGAAUGAAAUAUAUAUAUGGUAUUAUGUUAAUGAUUAGGGCAAAGCUUCAUGGAUGGCCAAACACAUAUGUUUUCACCAAAUCGAUGGGAGAGAUGCUUCUUGGUAACUACAAAGAAAAUCUUCCUCUCGUCAUUAUCCGCCCCACGAUGAUCACUAGCACUCUUUCAGAACCAUUUCCUGGUUGGAUCGAAGGAUUAAGGUAACUUUGUCAUCGAUUAGGAUUUUUACGUUUGAUACAAAAAGUUAAACAUAACUUGUCGUUAGUCCAGGAUAGAACUUUUAUUUAUGAUUUAAUAACUCAAGAUUUCUAACCAACCUAUCUAGAAUUUCUUUCCUAGUUACAAUUGUUCUCGCAUUAAUGAUGUUUGUAUAUAGAACUGUAGACAGUGUGAUUAUUGCUUACGGAAAGGGAGUGCUCAAGUGUUUUCUUGUCGAUGUAAACUCGGUUUGCGAUAUGGUAAGUUGCCACCAAGACUAAAGAUGUGUAUUUUCCCAAACAGUCAUAUAUCUUAUCUAUACAUUUAUCAUACUCCCUAUAUAUUUAUGAGUUUAUUAGUAAUUUAAAAUAUUAACUAAUAUUAAAUAAAACCCAAACUCUUAUAGCUGUAUCCUAAUUUUUUUUAUUGGAUGCGAUAUGAAAAACAGAUACCAGCGGAUAUGGUGGCAAACGCGAUGAUCACGGCUGCAGCCACACAUGCUGGAGGUUCAAAGGUUCACAUGGUGUACCAAGUUGGUUCAUCUCGCCAAAACCCAAUAACAUAUGGAGAGAUCCGCGAAAUUUUGUUUUGUUACUUCACCAAAAACUCUGCGCAGUCGCAAUAGCUCGCUGAUAACCGUCUCAAAAAUGAAGCUGAUACCAACUAUGGCUUUGUUCAGCCUCUAUAUGACCAUACGUUACAAACUACCUCUCCAGGUACUAAUAGGCAUGAGAGGAUUUUUAAAUUAUUUAGUAUAUUUAAGCUAAUUAUGAUCAAACUUAUAAUUACUUUCUAACGAAGAAAACUAAAUAUUUUUUCAUAGGUAAUUUUUUGUAAUAGUGUUUUGAUCUGUAUUGUUAAUUCUUUAUUUUUCCUCUAUCAGUUAUUAAAAUUGGUUGAUAUAAUAUAUCCUUCGAGGAAAGGAGACAAUUACAAAAACAAGAACCGCAAAAUCGGUAUGGUGAUGAGAUUGGUAAACCUUUACGAGCCUUACGUACUCUUCAAGGGCAUGUACGUAUUCCUAGUGUGAAAUUUAACUCUCUUAACUAGUCAGAAUAAUAAAUUUGAAAGAAUGGUUUAUAUAUUUACAUAAGAUCAAUUUUUUUUUUGCAGAUUCGACGAUAGGAAUACUAAAAACUUAUGCGCCAACCAGAAAGGAGAGGACAACCAAAAUUCAGAAAAUUUGAAGUUUGAUUUCGACCCUAAAAUCAUUAAAUGGAGAGAUUAUCUUAUAAAUGUACACAUUCCUGGCCUCAUCAUUCACGUGCUUAAAAAAUAAAACCCAUGCAAAUUUUCUUGACUUUCAAAUGUAUCACCAAUAAGACAAGACAGUAUUUAUUUGUCUUUAAUUAAAACCAUAAAAAAAAAAAAUUAUUUGUACUUUGGUAUCACCAAACGUAAUGAUGUAUCAUGUAUAUAUUUCGUAAGUAUGUAUUAUCCUCUUAUAAUCUUAUUGUUGGCUCAUUUGAAUAUGCAAUGUUAGUGUACUAAUAUUUAGCUUAAACGGUUGUUUAGAUAUCAUUCUCGAACCUUUUGUCUCAUGCUUUAAAGCGAAACCCUUUUCCUUGCUGAUGAACAAAUUCAUCUCUCUUCUCUUGCCGGCGAGAACCUCGGCCAUAGAAUCUUCUCCAACGUCAUCUAGUCUAUUGACUGUGACCAUUGUUCUAUCCAACGCUUCAUUUGUGGAUGAAUGAUGAGUGUUUUCUUUCGCUCAAAGUUUUUUUUUAAAGACCACACGACUACUGCAAUUGCACAGUGAAUCGUCUAUAGUAUUUAAGGAUUGAAUCCCACAGAUAGAGAAGUUGUUUAUACGAAUCCGUCAGAAGAGAGUAAGGUUUGGACUAAUCAAUAAAAAGAGGGUUUUUGGUGGUGUCAUGAACGAUUGCAAUAAGUAAAUAAAAGCAAGUGUAAAGUAAUAAGAGACAAACGUUGGACAUUCAACGGAUCAUAGGGGGUUCAAUGAUCUUUCUAACUAGGUGAUACUAAGUUCAGUUUUGUUUACUUCCAGUUCUUGGAGGUACGAAACACUAUUGAUCGGCGAACCCUAGGUUAUAGGAUAAGUCGGCUAAAAUCUUUAUACUCUUUUACUCAACCCAUGCAGGCAACGAUGCAUAUAUCAAAGCAAUAAGAUCUGAGUUCGAUUCUAGCCAAUAAAGCCCUAUAAAUAAGUGGUGUGUGCUUGUUAUAACACGAUACUCAUUCGUAAGCUAGGUUCGAGCAUAUUAAGCAACCUUUUGGGUAACGUAAACACUUGAGAUCAGAGUUAGGUCAUGAGGAUAAGUACAUGCAUUAAGGGAAAGCCUAAUAAUAAUGUAAACGAUCAAACAAAACCCUAUGUAUCGUUACCUAAAUGAUCGAUCGGUCCCAAAAGGGACUUCACCACCGGUCACACUCUUUGUGAUCGGUCUCAGAAAAAGCUCCAUUCAAACAGGCACUAAAAACGACCGUUAAUCGUAUAAGUCUAAUUCUAGAUCGCCGCGAUAAUGACUCUUCUAGCUUUUUAUAGAGUCCAAUAUCUCUCAAUUUAGUGCACAGAGAAGUCACCAACGGAUGUAAAACUUUUGGAGCUUCGAAUCUGUCCGGAAACGUGUUUUUGUCCCCUUUUGGUCAUUUUUCUCUUGAAACUCACAAAACCUUCUUGACUCCUAAACUACUUGAAUAUCAUCUCUUUGGCCUUGAAACCACACCAAAUACUUCCUAAAACAUAAGAAAACAAUAGCUAGUACAAGUAAAAAUACGAUGUUAUCAAUGAACCUUCGCCAAACCGUGUUAUCGCUUGCGCCAAAUUGCUCCCUGGCUUUUGUCUCCAACCUUUCAUGGAUUCUUUGUCGAUCUAUACCUUUGUAGCAUUGAAAAUUCCUUUGUAUGAUCCUUAUCUCCUUGGUUCUUUUGAACUUUGGUGUGAUUUGAAUGAAUGAAUCAAAUCUUUGCCAAAUAAUAUAUAUAUAUCAUUUAACGUUCGAACUUAAUUCGCUGUUUUAAUUUUGUUUGUUACAAUCACUUAAAGUUCUUGGAAAAAUGAUCAAACAUCACAAACAGUUUGGAUAACUGAUAUUACAUAUAGACCACGACAUCGUCACACAAUAUCCGAAAUUUAUAAAUGUAUAGUAAAUUAUAGGGUUUUGUGCAAAAAAACCCUCCAACUCGCCCAUUUUUGCAACUGUACCCUCCAUCUCCGAAAAAUGCAGAUUAAUAUAUUAUUUGUAUAUUGUAAACGUUUUUUCGGUCACAUACAUUGGUUUUUUAAAAUUCUAAAAGUAGAGUUGAACUCUUCAUCGCGAGGGCUUCGAUUUGAUAUAUUAUUUGUCAAAAUUUUACGAACUUGACGGUAAUGAAUAAGGGUUAUAUUGCACAUUAUUUGGGACUUCGUAGUAUUAAUCUGCAUUUUUCGAAGAUGAAAGGUAAAGUUGCAAAAAUGGGCGAGUUGGAGGGUUUUUUUGCACAAAACCCUAAAUUAUACCAACUAAAUGUUUCACAUGCCCACAUAUACCUAAUAACGUAUGACAUGGUGCAAACGAUUCUAAGUUUUCUCGAAUCCAAAAAAGACUAGCGUUAAUCAAAAUAAUAUUCAAAAUAUUUAAUUUCAGUUAUAUUUGAUAAAAUGUUAAAAAAAAAACAAAUUAUAAAAAAUUAGAAGUAAAUAAUACAUCCUUCUAAUUUGUAUGUUUGCAUUAUAACUUGCAGAUUAGUUUUCUCAAUAUCCUACCCUCUUAUUAAUGUAAGACUAAAUUAGUUUCAUGGUUUCUGUAGGAGAGUGAUUUAGCACCACCUGGUUAACUCGAGUUGAACCAAAAAUAAACCAGAACUUUGGGCCAUUUCGAAGGCUUGGAUCUAUGGAAAGGCCCACUUAACUCAAAAAUAGAAGGAUCAAGGACGACCUAACAGAAAAUGGAAGAAUUAUUUCGAACAUACAUAAAUAUUGCGAGGGAGAAAAAAAAAAGAAAACAUUUACUCAAAGAAUAUGGAAAGAUAGCAUAUUCGAAGACCUAGGGGAAGGAGUAUAAAAACAAAUUAGCAGCGGACGAGAAAAUGAUCCACAUUUUGCACCUCAAGAACUCUAGAUACGCAACUUGCACGGAAAACCACAACUUGUUACCAAAACUAGUUAUAUCUCUUUGUAAUUUCUGACUUUGUUCUUGAGAUCAAUAAGAAAACGACUUUCUUGAACUCUGAUUCCAUAUUUUUAGUCCUCUGGUUUACCUAUGAUGAUUCUACUUGCAUAAUUUUAGCGCUCUAUGUGGGGACUCAUACAUAAAAGCUCCCUAGAUCUACACUAGGCUAAGACCAACCAAGAAGAAUCGAGAACGAGGACACAUUUUCAGCUGAUAUCGGACAUUAGCAAAGCUACCACAUCUGGCCAAGGAGCACUACCCCCUCCGCAACCGAUGAUCCAAUGAGGACUGAUCUAGCAAACCUCCCAGAGAACAAGGAGGAGAACCUGAACGAGAAUCACGGUGAAGACGACACUUCCUCGGACCAGGAAGAACCGAUCUUACCGAAAGGCAACACCGAAUUGCCCACCUAAAAAAGGAACACUGGUACCAUUGUCACGACAACAGGAAAAGAGACUGUGAAUGAAGAACUCAUGCGCUUCCUCGUCGACCAGUUCGCCCAGCAGGGAGAGAAGAUCGCCAACUAAAGUUGGCCGUUUUGCUCCACUUCUGUGAUCACAAGUGCUAAAGCGGAAAAGCUUGUUAGGGUUUAUGGUGAGUGAACAGAGAGUGAAUCACAGUUGUUGCUGUGUUUGUGAGAUUGGGUAGAUUAGGAAUUGGUCAGUGACGAGUCGUGUUGACUACGUGUAAAACUGAUUAAACUGAUAUGUAAUGAUUGUUUAAGUGGUUUCUAAUAAGAACUGAGGUUCGUCCCAAUUGUUUCUACAUUAUAGUAUUUUUAUUUGGUAUCAAAGCAGGUGACCAACCUGAGUAUAAGCUCAAUACAUGUUAGAUCUUGUGGUUUAAGAAUGUCGACGUCUAAACUUGCUCUACUCUAGAGACCUGUGAUGCUAGAUCACAGACGCUAUGGCUACUGGAAAACAUGGAUGAUGCAGCUAAUCAUAAGACAGGGUGAAGACGACUGGACUGCUGUAGAAAUUGGAUGGGAAGCACCGUUUGUUACAACUGAAGUUGGUUUCAAGGUUAUCAAACCUAAAGCAAACUGGACUACUGAUGAGAAGAAUCUAUCCAAGUUUAAUGCGAGAGCUAUGAAUGUUAUCUACUCCUGUCUUGAUGAGAACGAGUUCAACCUGGUUCAAAGAAGUGAGUCUGCUAAACAUAUGUAGGAUAUUCUGCAAAAAUCAGAUGAGGGGAACAGUAUUGUUAAACGAACUAGGCUAGAUCAACUGGCCAUAGAUUUUGAAAACCUGAAGAUGGAUCCUUCAGAAUUGAUUGUUCAGUUCAUCCAAACUAGGUGGUAUUGCUAACGAAGCAAAGACACUGAGAAAAACGUACAAGGAGAAGAAAUUAGUGAAAAAAUUGUUUCGAUGCCUACCACAGAAGUAUGAUGCACACACAGCUGUCAUGAGGGUAUCAGGUAACACAGAAACCAUAAAGUUUGAAGACCUUGUAGGGAUUUUGAAAUUUGAGGAGAUGGAGGUGGCUGACGAUCAACAAAAUCUCAACAAGGGAAUUGCAUUCAAGGCUGAUGAAGAUAAGUGUAAAGAUCCGCUGCAAGAAAUCAGAGAUAAUCUGGCUCAAAUGACAAAAAAGUUUAUUUGAAGCCUUGAAACGUGUUGAGAAAGGUAUAAACAGAGAUUCAGGAGAUGUUCAGGCCUCUGUCGCUCGAAUAGGUGUGAUACAGAAAAAGUCUAAGAACAGAUUUCAGAAGACUGAUGGUUUAGGCAGGAGACAUGAUUUUCAGUGUCAUGAAUGUGGUGGUUUUGGGCACUAUAAAACUGACUGCCCAGUUGCUAAACGCAAAUAGUUGAAGUGUUCAGAAUGUAAAAGUGUCAGACAUCUAAAGUCUGAAUGCCCAAGUGCACAGAGAGGCAAAGACAAAUCCUACUUGAGUUUAAGUGACUCAGAUUCUGCGAGUGAAGAAAAAGAAGACAGGAUGCUGAAUUUAGUUGCUUUUAGUGCAAAAGGUAAUGUAAGUUCAAGUGAUGAGGAUUUUGAUUCAGAUGAUGAUGGAGAAUUGAUCUCAAGUGACAGUUACCACACUCUAUACGACAGCUGGAUACUGUUGAGCAAUGACAAGUUGCAGCUCACCAAAGAGAACCUGAUGCUUAUGGCAAAUGUGAACAUGUUGGAAGAAGAAGCCAAUGAAGAAAAGGUUGGUGAAAAGCUGCCUUUACUUGAAAAGCAUAUUGUUGAGAAGAAGAUGAAUUGUCUAUAAGAAAGUUAUGAGAAGGAGAAAGAAAAAUCUCUUUUGCUGGAAAGAGAACUAAGUGAGAACAAAAAAAAAAAUCAGAAUGCUGAAUAAUGGUGGUAAGAAUCUAGAUCAGAUUCUGUCCAUGGGAAUUAUUGGAUCAAGCCACAAGACUGGGUUAUCAGCAAUAUGCUUUUAAGUCAUCCUUGGACGUGUCUAAGCCUAUCUACUUUGUGAAGAGUACAACAAGCCAUGAAAAAGAAGCACAAAAAUUGAAAAUAAUUGAGCAAUAGAAGCAGUCUGAGCAACAGAAGGUCUGGACAAAAUCUAGGAAAGGCAAGAGGGUGUAUGUGUGUUUUCACUGUGAAAAGUCUGGCCAUAUCAGAUCCUCUUGUUACAAAUACAAGAACAAAAUAAGACAACUGUGGAAGUCACGAAAAUGCUUCAUUAAUCCCACAAAGUUUGAGAAAGUAUGAGUUGCAAAGCGAGAUCUGUACAAUAAACAUCAGGAGGAUGAUGAGCAGAAUAACAAUCAAGUGUGUGAUGAAUCUAAGGAUAUCAAUCUAUGCUGCAAUCUGACAAUUGUGCAGAAUGAAGAUGAGAACAUCAAAGCUAAUGUUGUUGGAGUUAAUUUUGGUGCCCUAACUCAAUCUGUUAAGGAAAAUGUUUCUCUUAUGAAACCUGCAGUUGCGAGUCAUGGUACAAUUACACCGAGAGUUAGAAGCAGCUCUAUCAGAAAAGUGUAUGAUAACCACUGGCAGAAAUCUGGACCGACAACUCUACACAAUAAUCUGGAGGGAAGAAUGAGUGGAUGUUGAUUUUGUGGUAAAAAUGGUCUUUAUAAAGCUCAUUUGCAACAGGUUCCUGAAUCGAGUUACUCAGGUCAUGCAACAGGAAAAAAUUCACACAGAUGAUCGACGGUUCAAUCAUGUCUGGAUCAAGAAGCGGGAUCUAUAUUGUCAUGGUGCAUACACAACAGGUGAACCAGGUAAUGCAUCAAAAGAAAGACUCUUGAAUUGUGAUAGUGACUGCUCAAGAAAUCAGGGAGGUGUUCAAAGCGAGCGUAAAAAUAUGAAAUAUCUUGGACAUAUGGAUGUUAAACGUUUGGUAAGAUUCAUAAGAUGCUAGAUCGUGGGGGCUAUAACUCAAUCAUCAAAGGGGAGAUUAUUGUCAGUAUAUACGUGAUGAUGUUGAUAUUGAACCGAAUGAGCACAAGCCAUGGAGUUCAUAAGAAGCUAAGGAGAGUCAAGGCCGAAGUUCUCAUGACAAGGCCGAAGAUCUCACCAAGACACGAAGGUGCAAGAUUCGUGUAAAGUCACCAAGACGCCGAAGUGCAAAAUUGGUGUAAACUCAUAAGAAGAGUCAAGGCCGAUGCUCUCAAGACGAGGCCGAAGACGAAACACCAAUGUGCAAAAUUGGUGUCAAAGUUAUCAAGGUAUCAAGACCCAAUGUGCAAAAUUAGUGUCAAAGUUAUCAUGACCUAAUGUGCAUAAUUGGUGUCAAAAGUAUCAAGACCGAGGAUGCAAAAUGGAGUCAACUCAUGAAGACAAGAAUGUGCAAAACUCGGGUCACUUAGUGAUAAUCCAUGUGCAAGAUUGGUGUCACUAAGUGAAGAAGAUAAAGAUGUGCAAAACUAGGGUCAAUGAGCAAAGCGAAGAAGACCCUAGAUUCAAAUCGUUUAAAACGCCAAAAAGGAGUCUCAUGUGGAUAAGGAAGCAAGCAACUUGCAAGGAGGACCACAUGAGGAAUAUGGACGUUGGAGGAGCUGUCACCAUCAUCAAGGACGCUCCUCUCUCUCUCCUAAAGGAGAAAAAGCAACAAGUGGUCCCAAACUCUCUAAGCCACAUCUUGUGGUCGUUUGAAAUAGAGCUGUUGGGGCUAUUUUGUUUUUAAGUGUAUUUUGGUUUUAAGUGAGCAAUUUGAAUGCUCAUAACCGUUGCACAUUAGGGUUUAGAAAGGAUACCUUAUCCCAUUCACCUUUGUAUAAAUAUGUGGGCUAAUGCCUUAAUAAAGUUAAGCUCUCACAAUUGAGAAACAAAAGCUCUCAAUUUGGGAUGUCUUCCCCUUAUACAAAACGUUUCUUUACACACUCAAAUGGGUAGAUUAGGUUGAUAUUAUUCUCAUGGAGAGACCAAGUCUUGGCAAUACUUGGUCUCUACCAUUCUUUCAAUCCAAUUCUCUACCAUUCUCUAAAUCGUUUCUAUAAGGGUAUUUGGGUUUUGUUGGUAUGAGAGAGCUGUUGCUUCUCAUACUUAUUCUUGAGUAUACACAGCCCACAUUGAAGUGUAUAACUCCUAUUUUACCUCAAGAACAGCUCACAUUGAGUUAGUUUCUUGAUGGAUUUACACAUGAACACACAAACCCGAUUUUGGUGUUCUUGUGAUUCUCUUUGAGUGAAGCAUGAACUGCUCACUCUUGAUUUGUCCCAGGCUCAUAACCUGGCCAUAUUCCGCAUAUAUUCUAACAUGGUAUCAGAGCCAUGGUUAGGAGAACCAUGGUUUCAAAGCUACAAAGCAAGGCCCUUGAAGAAGAGACUCACGGGGGAAAGAAGAGGGAAGAGAUACAUGGGAUGUCUUAGAACGAAAUGUUCAAGCAUUUAAAAUCAUGAUGAAUCCAAAAGGCCUCUUCAAUUCACGUUUAAGAAGAUCUCUCAAGGGAUGAAGAAAAAGAAGCCACAAAGAAGAUGGCGAUUUGAAGCUGUUCUUGAAGCUCUUGAAGUAGAUCAUGAAGACUGCUCAUUUUGGAGUUAUCAAGGCAGUUUGGAGCAGAUCUUGAAGCCCACGAAGUAGAUAACAAAGACUGCUCGUUUUGGAGUUCACAAGGCUGCUCACACACCCCACAUUCUCCCAAUCUCACCUCAAGAAAACAAAGCUAAGAACUUUGUCCAUUGGCACUCUUGAGUCCAUACUCUUUAUACUCUCAUACUUGGUUACUUAAUCUCUUAUUCUUGGUAACAUACACUUUAUUUUUUGUCAUUAAUUCUCAGGCUUAUGCCUUCCAUCUCUUCUUGAUGAGUUUGCCAAGAAGAAAUGGCGAUUUGGAGCAGCCCUUGAAGCAUAAGAAGCGGUCAUGAAAGAAGCCUUAAAAGCCUAGUCUUGAAGUUGUUCUAUGAAGGGAUAAUGAGGAAGGAUUAGCUUUAAGAGCUAAGUGGCUGACUUGGUGCUAUCAAAAGGCACCCAAAAGUGUUCUAUAAUUCUCAAGCUUCAAAGGAAGCUAAAAGGAUUUAAAGAAGCACAAGAAGAGGCGGAAAUAGAGCCCCAAUCGGUUGUGCAACCGAUCGGACAAACCGAUUGGAAGAGCAGUGAGGUUCCGAUCGGUUGUGCAACCGAUCGGGAUAACCGAGCGGCAAAACUCGGGUUUCGUACUAAUGGCCUCCGAUCGGUUCUGCAACCGAUCGGGAUAACCGAUCGCCACGUCUGUGUACUCAAAGAUGAGUACUUCUCGCCCAUCUCCGAAUCUAGCUCGUCCCGGGGAAAAUGUUCCUCGACCAUUCUUCAUAAAAUGGAGGGUUGAGCGACAAAAUUUCAAUAUGGGUCGAGGAAAUAUGUCAUUUGACCGAAGGAAGUGAAGAUAGGGCAUUCCGAGAAGGCUCUCGUCGGACUCCGACAAAUUAGCUCGACCGUUUUCAAAAUUGUCUCGACCAAACAUCAUGAAAUACCCAUAAGUACGGUGAAUCUCGAAGAUGGUACGGGGAAUUAUGAGUUUGGGUCGAAGAAAUUGAAGAGGUCUUGAUCCAGCACAUGAAGGGGCUAAUACGAAGACGAACUCAAACCUAGUCUAUCUCAAGGCUGACCCAAGAGGAAGAUCCAUGAAGAUGAACCCAAGAGGCAGACCAAAGAAGAAGACUAAGGUGUGACAAGUGAAGGCUACUCGGCAUACAACCCGAGUUAGAUAACCUAUGGAGAAGAAGAGGUGGAUGAAGACCAAGAAGACACCAACCAUAAAGAGAGAGACCUAUGAAGGCUGAAGCUCAAAUGGUGGUGCAAAGAGUCUCAUCCAACCCAUACAACAAUGAAGACAAAAGGCUAUCUCUAAAUCCUUACUCUUUCAUUGUUAUUUUUCAUAUCAAUGCUCAUUUAGAAAUGCAUAAUUUGAUCAUAUAGAUAGACUUCCUUAUUGAAAUGAAUCCGCAUGAUUAGCUUACAAAUGAAGUUGUCAUUUAAAUAUUUAAGCAUAAUUUUAGAGUGGAUUAGGAGUCAUCAUUUGAUUAGAAUUGUGUAAGUACUUGAAUUGAAUUGUCAUGAUUAAAAUCUGAAAUUUAAUUGGUCAUUUGCAUUGGUAUUGAAUUUAAAUAAACCGGAUUUAUAGCAUGAUUAAUCUUGAAUUUGAAUGUUAAAAUCCGAGUUUUAUUGGUUGAUUAAAUGGACUUAGUCUUUGAAAAGCUAGUUCAUUUUAAUAUUGUUAACUCUAUCUUACUCAUACUAAGCUUAAAUUCUUAUGGCAUAUACUUAAGAUUCUUUACAUCUCUUUAUUGAAGGUGUAAAAGAGAAGAGAGCCAUUUUGGAGGCUAGAUGAGAAGAAGAGAACCGGUUGAAGAUUGGAAGCUAUGGCAUGUCAAGAGGAGAAGCAAAGGCGAUUGAUCGCUUGACUCAUUAAAGAAGAUCAAUUCAUGGUGGUGGCCGAAAGGGGGAGUUCCUUAAGCGAGUUCAUACACGGAGAAUUGAAGUCUCAACAAGAAGUCAAAGCAAGAGCCAAGCAAUCCGAUUCAUACCAUGACCAUAGCUACAUCAUUCAACCAUGAAGACUACACUCUUUUUCCCUUAAGCAAAGUUUUAUCCCAAGUGGUUUUCUUUGCUAAGGUUUUUAACGAGGUAGUUCUUUGUGUGUUGCAAGCUUGGUCCUUGGUCCCCGCCGAUCAAGCUUGAGGGGGAGUGUUAAGAAGAAAAGGCUAACCCGAAGCCUAAGGCCGAAAGUCUACAAGACGAGGCCAAGUUGGUGUGGUUCAAGGAAGCAUGACUUGACCACGCUCAUAAAUUCAAGCUUUAACCUUCGUCCCUUAUGGUUAAAGCUUGAGGGGGAGUAUUGAACCGAAUGAGCACAAGCCAUGGAGUUCAUAAGAAGCUAAGGAGAGUCAAGGCCGAAGUUCUCAUGACAAGGCCGAAGAUCUCACCAAGACACGAAGGUGCAAGAUUCGUGUAAAGUCACCAAGACGCCGAAGUGCAAAAUUGGUGUAAACUCAUAAGAAGAGUCAAGGCCGAUGCUCUCAAGACGAGGCCGAAGACGAAACACCAAUGUGCAAAAUUGGUGUCAAAGUUAUCAAGGUAUCAAGACCCAAUGUGCAAAAUUAGUGUCAAAGUUAUCAUGACCUAAUGUGCAUAAUUGGUGUCAAAAGUAUCAAGACCGAGGAUGCAAAAUGGAGUCAACUCAUGAAGAUAAGAAUGUGCAAAACUCGGAUCACUUAGUGAUAAUCCAUGUGCAAGAUUGGUGUCAGUAAGUGAAGAAGAUAAAGAUGUGCAAAACUAGGGUCAAUGAGCAAAGCGAAGAAGACCCUAGAUUCAAAUCGUUUAAAGCGCCAAAAAGGAGUCUCAUGUGGAUAAGGAAGCAAGCAACUUGCAAGGAGGACCACAUGAGGAAUAUGAACGUUGGAGGAGCUGUCACCAUCAUCAAGGACGCUCCUCUCUCUCUCCUAAAGGAGAAAAAGCAACAAGUGGUCCCAAACUCUCUAAGCCACAUCUUGUGGUCGUUUGAAAUAGAGCCGUUGGGGCUAUUUUGUUUUUAAGUGUAUUUUGGUUUUAAGUGAGCAAUUUGAAUGCUCAUAACCGUUGCACAUUAGGGUUUAGAAAGGAUACCUUAUCCCAUUCACCUUUGUAUAAAUAUGUGGGCUAAUGCCUUAAUAAAGUUAAGCUCUCACAAUUGAGAAACAAAAGCUCUCAAUUUGGGAUGUCUUCCCCUUAUACAAAACGUUUCUUUACACACUCAAAUGGGUAGAUUAGGUUGAUAUUAUUCUCAUGGAGAGACCAAGUCUUGGCAAUACUUGGUCUCUACCAUUCUUUCAAUCCAAUUCUCUACCAUUCUCUAAAUCGUUUCUAUAAGGGUAUUUGGGUUUUGUUGGUAUGAGAGAGCUGUUGCUUCUUAUACUUAUUCUUGAGUAUACACAGUCCACAUUGAAGUGUAUAACUCCUAUUUUACCUCAAGAACAGCUCACAUUGAGUUAGUUUCUUGAUGGAUUUACACAUGAACACACAAACCCGAUUUUGGUGUUCUUGUGAUUCUCUUUGAGUGAAGCAUGAGCUGCUCACUCUUGAUUUGUCCCAGGCUCAUAACCUGGCCAUAUUCCGCAUAUAUUCUAACAGUUGAGUUGUAUAGCGCUGUUGGAACAGAUUUCUACUGAUAAUUAAAGAUCAUCAAAGUGCAAAUUACAAGAGUGUGUGUGUGGUACAAGCGAUGAUACAGACUGCACUGAAACAGAGGAAGAUCACGUCUACAAGCUGAAGAAGGCAUUAUAUGGAUAGAAGGUUGAUGUUGUCAAGUGCUUAAUGACUAUGGUUGGUUAUGGUUGUUGUUGUACCUUCUGGUUGUUUUUAUCUGCUUGUGCACUCAAGCAAGGGAGAAUAGUGUGUCCUGGUGCACGGGACAAUACUGUGAUCAGGUCAGGGGGAGAAUACAGUAACUUGGCCUUACAUUGAUUGCCCAUGAUGGACGAGAGUACUUGGAGCUUGAGUUGUCACACUUAGAUAAAAAGGAGGAGAUUGUAAGUACCUUCAGAACACAAAAGACUGAUCUGUUAUCAAGAGUAUGUUGGAUCAACAAGAGUCAGUCGAGCACAGAGGGGUGAACUAUAACCAGGUGUCUGUUGGAGCAACAAGCACUUGUGGAGCACGGAGGAGUAACGUUUAUGGAAAGCAGCAAUCAUGGAAUAAAGAUGACGUGACGAGCUGCUAUUGGAGAUAUGAUUUAAUGGCGUAUCUUUCAGGAUAUUGAUAAAUCAAGAAAUAGAAGAUUUGAUGAUAUCUAGAAUAUGGAAACAAGAUAUUGACGAAUCAAGAAAUAGAAGAUUCGGAGAUAUCUAGAAUAUGAAAACUAGGUCAGCCACGUGGUGUGGUUUGACCUAUAUAAGGCGGUCUAAGCGUUAGGCUUAGGUUGGCCGUUUUGCUCCACUUCUGUGAAUCACAAGUGCUAAAGCGGAAAAGCUUGUUAGAGUUUAUGGUGAGUGCACAGAGAGUGAAUCACAGAUGUUGCUGUGUUUGUGAGAUUGGGUAGAUUAAGAAUUGGUCAGUGACGAGUCGUGUUGACUGCAUGUAAAACUGAUUAAACAGAUCUGUAAGGAUUGUUUAAGUGGUUUCUAAUAAGCACUGAGGUUCGUCCCAAUUGUGUCUACAUUCUAGUAUUUUCACUUCAUUCUUCGGAUCUGAGCGACAGCGACUCUGUUCUCGGUGGCUUGGUCACUCUCUCAUCUCUCCUGCUUCAUCCUUGUUUUAGAAUGGUCUAAUCAUUGGUUUAGGCUGGAUCUAUGGAUUUAAAGGUUUCUAAUCUACGGGUUGUGGUACGGUCUUAUCAUGCAAUCCGGUAUUAGGUCCUUUAUGGCCUCUUUUCUUUGAUUUAGUUGUUUGCCCGGUUGACUUGUGCUCUUCGGAAAUGUGUCUUGGUAUUUGCUUGUGGUUCGUCUCUUUUUGCCCUUCCAUGGUGUAUAUAGGCUGAGUUUUCUUUCGGUUUCCUCAUUUUGCAAAUCGCAGAUGGUUCAGUUCACCCAUUUAUUUGGGUUUCCUCUGGUUUUGCUAGAAGUUUUGUUUGGUCGUCUUCAUCUCACGGUCAGUAGGAUCCUUUGUCAGGUUCUCUAAGUUUAAUUAAUUGUGAUCUUGGACUGAAAGAGUUCAGCAAGUGCGUUCCAUCAUCCUUCGUGAAAUUCUUUGUCAAGUGCCGCUAUUCGAUCUUCUUUACCUCACCAAUUUCGUUGUUCUCAUGUCUAGAGUUUAAUUGGGAUUAAUCCAUUUGAGGGUUUCCCUUGUUUUUGUAGAUUAUAAUUAUAUUCGUUUUUCGUCUUAAGUUUCUCUCGUAUUCCACCCUUGUAUUUUACAAUCGUAUAAUAUAACAGAAAAAUUCUAGAUGAAAAAAAGGAAAGGAAUUACCAUUUUUUUGUGGAAAGGAAUUGCCAACUCUUUUUUUUUAUUACUUCACCAAAAAUUGGUUCGUGAGAUUCUAGUUUGAGAUAACUGGGUCAGAGACGUUAUUAGGAGAGCAAAUUAGUUUUUUGGUAAACUGACAAACGGUCCAUAACAACACUAAUAUUUAGCCCCUAUUGUGCCCAAUUUUAACCCUACUCGCUUCUGAUAUUUAGACUUUGAAUCGGUCCAUUGCGUGAGACAAAUGAAUUGAUGUUUGUUAUGGAUGUCCAAAUUAUUCUAUAAAUCUAUAUAUAUAUAUCUUGCAUGUUGUCUCCUCCGUCGAUCAGAUUGAAUAUCUAAUAAAUAUUUUUUGUUACAUGUAUACAAAUGUUAAUAACGGUCUAUAUACAUGUUUUUAUGUAUACAAAUGUUAAUAACGCUCCAUGUACGUAUUUAUAUGUAUAGAAAUGAUAAUAAUGUUCCAUGUACGUGUUUACAUAUAUAUAAAUGCUAAUAUCGCUCUAUACAUAUAUAUAUUUACAUGUACACAUAGACCGCACUAUUUACAACCAUUAUUAUUUCUAACGCUUUAUGUAUAUGUUUAUCUGUAUACAAAUAUCAAAAUCGUGUAAAAUAUUCAUUGGGUGUCAAUGCAACUAGAUUGGUUGUUUAAAAAAUUAAAAAAAAAAACUAUUUAUUGAGCGUCAAUACAACUAUGUUAGUUGUCUAUAUUCAAAUUUGAUUUAGCUCAAAUUAAAAUAUGUUGCAUUUAUUAACGAUUACUUUGUUCUUUUUGUCUACACGACAAUGUCAGUUCAACUGAAAGCAUUUAUUAUUUGCAGAUUCUUCCUUCGACUCUCUUAAGAGGCAUCAACUUUCACCACGCGCAUGCUCAAACGCAACUCUGGUAUUUUCGUUAUUAAAUGGAACUUUAAACCUAUUCAUAUUUUUUUUUUCAGCUUGUCUCUGACGAUUUCUACUGUUUUUUACCUAAUUUUCUCUCUCAAUAACUAAUUCACCCAUUUAGUUUCAUAACUCAAAAAAUCAUUUGUGCAGUCGCUGGGUGUCUUGUAAAAAAAAAAAGUAAGAUUUUAAAGGAAGACAAAAAAAAAAAAAAACGGACAGGACUAUUGCCGGUUCAUAAUUGAACCGGUUGCUCCAAAAAAAUAGAAGGUAAAACCGGAACAGUAGAUAACCGGAAACUGAAGAAACCCUAACUAUAUAUAUAAACUCAUCAUCCUCUUCCUCCAUCUUCGUUUUUUUCUCAUCUCCAAACACUCAAAGCUUGUAGCUUCUUGCUCCUCAAAUCUUCUUGGUAACUCUUCUUUCCAUGUCUCUGAAUCGAUUUCCUUUUGUUUAAUUCAAUUUCUGAGUAGUUUGAUUUGGUUUUGGCUGUGUAUUAAAAGCAGAAAAUGAAGGUUGCCGCUGCUUUUCUCCUCGCUGUUUUGGGCGGAAACGCUAAUCCUUGUGCUGAGAAUAUCAAAGAUAUUAUCGGAGCUGGUAAGUUUUUGUGUUUUGAAUGAUUAGAUUGUGUUACUGUGAAUGUCUAAGUAGCAAUUAUGAUUUGGGAAGAUUCUGCAUUUGCUUUGUUUUAGCAAUGAUUAGUGGAUCUAGAGGUAAAGAUUUGUUAGUGCUUAUCAAAGUAUUGUGAUGUUUAAUAGUAAGAGUUUCUGAUCAAGAGAAUAUAAUUUUGUUCAUGUAUAUAUGAGUCUUUGUUUUGUCAUAUAUGAUUUAUGGGGUUUGUUGUGUUCUGUUGUGUUGUGAGAUAUGAAUUCAAUGGGUGUUGUGUUUUGUUUUGUAGUUGGUGCUGAUGUUGAUGGAGAAAGCAUUGAGCUUCUUUUGAAAGAAGUGAGUGGUAAGGAUAUUGCUGAGCUGAUUGCUUCUGGUAGGGAGAAGUUGGCGUCUGUGCCAUCUGGUGGUGGUGGCGCUGUUUCAGCUGCUCUGUCAAGUGGUGGUGGUGGUGCUCCUGCAGCUGUGGAGAAGAAAGAAGCUAAGAAGGAAGAGAAAGAAGAGUCCGAUGAUGUAAGAGUUUGUUUCUUGUUUUAGCAUUUUGGUUUCCUUCUUACUCUUUUGCUCAUGAAUAUCUGACUCUGUUUGUUAUAUUCCUUUACUUUGAUGCAGGACAUGGGAUUCAGUCUCUUCGAGUAAGAUUUUCGUCCCACGGAAAUUAGUCGGAGAUUUGAUUUUUUGUUCUCUUAGUGGAUCUGGUUUUUGCUCCUCUCUUGUAGUUCGGUGUUAUGAAAGAUUCUUGGAUUACGAAUUUUACUCAGUUAAUGAAGCAAGAAGAGUUUUUCUACUAUCUUAUGGGUUCUUACAUUUAGGAUUUUGAAUAUAAACCUCAUGCAAAAGUUAAUCUUUACGAAGGUUAAAAAUGUAUUUGGAAUCCCAAAUAAACAGAAAAAUCAAGAUCAAAGUGAAAUUUAGAUAUUGUGAUACUUCACUAAAGAAACUUGAUAAAUUAGAAGAAAGUAAAUCAAACUCUACUAGAAGAAAAUAAUCGGAAUUGAAGUAACAUUAGAAGUUGCAAUCUUUGUUCACUAAGCAUUCGCAUAAAGUUGUUUGACAAAAAAAAAAUGAUCACUAGUAUCAAGAAGAUGAUGCCACCAACUUAAUCUAAUCUGCUCGGGCACAACAAACAUAUCCCACAGUUCGAUCCAUCUCUACCAACUUCCCAUCACAUAACCAAUCAUGGUUCAUGGGGUAUGGAUCAGCAACGAUUGUUCACUAUCUUUGAGACAACAGCAAAGAUGCUAAGAUUUCGGAACAGUGACAUUAAGUAUCUUAACAUCUUGGUAAGGUCUGUCGUUCUUGUCUGUCUUCACUUUCUCUAUACCCUGUUUAUUUGAUUUUAUGGUUAGACACAGAGUCACAUUAAGCCAACAAGUAAAAAAAAAAAAAUUUGGUUUUCAAAUCAUACUUGCACGACGUCCAUUCCCUUCACAACUCUUCCAAAAACAGUGUGCUUAUUGUCUAGCCACGGCGUAGCCACCGUUGUGAUAAAGAAUUGAGACCCAUUUGUGUUUGGGCCAGCAUUUGCCAUAGACAAUGUGAACGGCCUGUCAUGCCGUAGACUGCAGGCCAAAAAGAAACAUAACACAAACUAAGUUACAUUUCAUUCGUUUCUAAAGGAUGGCUAAACUCAAAGCAGGCGUGGCACUAAGAAAUGUUUACCUUUUGUGAAACUCGUCUUCAAAUUCUCUGCCCCAAAUUGACUGUCCUCCAGUACCAUCCCCAAGAGGAUCUCCAGUCUGUAUCAUAAAUCCUCUGAUAACCCGAUGGAAAAGGUGGUUAUCGUAAUAGCCAUUUCUACAGUGUGUUGUGAAAUUCUCCACAGUUUUGGGACAUUCUUCUGGGUAAAGCUUCAUGUGAAUGUCGCCCAACGUAGUAUGCAUGAUCUGGAUAAUUAGGAGUUAAAAGAAUUAUUGUGUUAAAGAUUCAAAUUACAGACUAUGUAAUGAUUUAUAAAAUAGAUGCAAAUAUAGUGGGUUAUGAAAACAUACCACGUUCUCCGGAAGAGAUGUUGUGGCUGAGUUUCCAAUAUCAGAGGCAGCCAUAAGUUCAUCAGCAGCAGGCUUCUCGUUGAACACAUCUCUCCCUUGGCUUGCAUCUUCAGGUUCUUCUGGCUCUCUCCGACUGCAGAAACCAAUUUAUUGAUAAUAAAAUUCAAAGUGGGUCUUGGCAAUAUCAAGGUAUCUCUAGGGAUAUCUAGAGAAAACAUAAGAGGCCUUUCUACAAAGUAGAAUCUAAAGAUGUGAAAACAGAUUCUCUCCCCGGCAACAUAAACAUGAGUCAUUUUAGCACGAUAUGAGUCAUGUACCUGAACAUAUAGAUCCUGUGUUUCUUGAAGGCACAGCAUAGGAUAGUCGGAUCAGUCAAAGGCUCUUUGCUUUCAUUUACAUUUGCUGCGGCUGCUGGAAUCUUUCUAACUUUCUUGCCUCCUUGAUCACCUUGAUAUAAUGCAACUCUCAGAUACCUUUCAUUACUCUCCACCUUUCCAAGGAUCCUUGCAACUGUGUUGGUGUGUAAAUUUAUUAUCUAGAGAACAAAAGGGUUAACAGAGAAAUUAGCAGUUGCUUGUUAUGAUUCCAUUUACUACGCAUGGAAGAGUUCUGAAACAAUCAAACUAUAGAAACUGGUUCGCUUUUACAUAAUGAUAUUAUGAUAUUCUGGAAAUACAUAGAUAUUGAGGGAUUGUGAUAAUGGAGCUCCUCCCACUCCCCCUUAGACACCCAAAUUUACGAUAAAAUCCUAAGCUUCUUUCCUCUUCAUACACUAUAUUGGCAGAGAGCAUAACCACUUUAAUAUAUGGUACAAAGAAGUAACCACAUUAAAUCUUGGUUACUUUAUCACCUAAGUAAAGGCUAGCCAGUGGUGAAAGGCCCAGGUCUUUAAGCUCGUUAAUUGUCUCAUGUGUAUGUGAGACAGGAUACUUAUCAUGUCUAGACUGAAAUGCUAGUCUAUGGUAAUUUAAACAGAAAACAAUAAUAAGUGGAUCCCUUACUUUUAUUCCAAGAAGAGUGGCGUAUAUAAGGAAAUUAGAGCUUUCAUCAAACACAGCAUUGGGCUGCGGAGCAUUCUCGGUUUUUUCAAGUUCCUUCUCAACUGCCAUUCUUCUACCAAAGUCAAUAGCUUCAAGCCUGUAUAAUGGAGCAUCACUCCUCUGCAGAUCUUGGGCCACCUAAUAGUGGAAUGGAUCAUUAAAUCAUGAAAGAUUAAUGUGAAAACAUGUAAGGAAAGAAGCAUAGAAUAUGUAACCUUACCUCAAGUGACUCAUCAUAUACCCGCCUAAGUUUACCAGUUCUAAACCAGAACACGCGAAUCCUACGAUCAGGAGAUGUAAUGGAAAACUGUCUACCAUCUGGACUCACCUGAAAUUAAUUUCACUAAAUUUAUAGACCAAAACUUGCACUAUGAUUUUCACCGGACAUAUCAAUUGCUAAUAGCUGCAUUCUAAGCAUGGAAAGAAAAACCAAAGAUACUAAAUGUCACAUAAGUACCUCAAUGGCAGAGAUUGUUGUUUUGCACUUUAUAAUCUCAAAGAGAUUUGUAUCACUCUUCAGUUUAAAGUUUACCCUACAACAAAAAGUAAAAGGUCAACCUGUGAACCAUAAAUGAAAGCAGCCCAUCAACUACACUCAGAUUCUAAAGAUGUUCAAAUAAGAAGUUGGCAACUAAAGUAUUUCUACUACAGGCUCCUCUUUGCAUCAUUCUCAGUAAUAUGAUAUUAAACUACAAUAGCCACACACAGAAAAACAGGUACGCUCCUCUUACCCUAGAGGCUACAAGCCUACAACUAAUACUCUAAUAGAAAACAAACAGCAAUACCGAAAUGGAAAUAAUAAAAGCGUUUUUGAUAAGAAGUGAGACAAGUACAUACUGAUCCUCGGGAAACUGCAAUGUAGCUGGACUCCAGUACUCAAUGAUUCCUUUUGUGUCACCAGAGAUCAUUGUGUCCGAAACAGGAUUGUACUUCAUGAUCUUAAUUGGAUUCAUAUGUAUCUGGGCAUACAAAGAUUAAAACACCGUUUUAGCUUUGUAAAAUAUGACGAGUCAAGAAAUAGCAACAAAGAAAAACAGAUGAACACAAACCUCUUUUGAAGCAAUGGGUUCGUUGGAACCAGAACGGGGAUCAUAAAUGUGCACAAACGAAGAGUCUCGGUCACUGACAGCAAGUUUAGCUUUGACAUCUCCUUGUUUGUAGACCCACUCAACAGCACCAGGAAUAUACGGCAAACGGAUCAUGGCCAUCAUGUCGUAGUUGACAACAUCAUAUAUUUUAACAGCAUGAUCAUUUGAGAUUGUACAGCAAAGCAAACCAUCAAUGCUAACCUGCAUUGCUGAAACGGGUCAUGGUUGAUAACAGAACUAGAAACAAACACAAAAAUUGCGGAAACAAUAACAUAUCUAACAAUAAUUUCCCCACACAUCGAACAAUCUUCAUUCAAUAAAUAAAGAAAAGGCUAAUCUUUCAAACAUGGAGGAGCAUAUGCCUGGAUUUGAGGUGACAGUAUCUUAAAUCCAAAAAAAAAGAGUUCACAUUAAAAAUCACUGGCGAUACUUACCGCCAGACCUUCAAUUGGACCGAGAUGGGAGCGGAAAUGCUUAGCAAACUCGAUACCUACACCCUUUUUCUUCCAAAAUUUCAAGUGACCUAGGUUAUGAAAAAUAAUAUAUAUGUUAUGCUUCGACAUUACAAAACCAGAACGAAAUCAUAAAUAUCACAAAGAUGAGAAACAUUACCAUCCAUGCUUCCACUGAUAAAGAAAUCAGCUGCUGAAACAGCAACAUGUGUAACUACAUCCCGAUGCAUAUAACUUUUCUCAUACCUAGAGAAAAAGAUACAAGAGUUCACUUUUCCAGACCAAUUCACAGAUAAUAAGCUCACAAAUUCCAACAAAAAUACUAAACCAAUAAGCUCAAGUUGAAGCAGUAGGUUAUGGAGAAGAAGUACCAAUUCUUUGAACGUAAAACCCUAAACCCCAAAAACUUGAUUAAUGAGGAACAGAGAAAGUUCCAAAGGCACAAGAAAUACUUACAUAUUAGCAGAAGGAAGCGAAUCAAGAUAAGCUUGCUCGAAUUGAAGCGGACGCUUGCGUUUGCCUCGUGGAGCUGGUCCAGGUCCGACCAUCGCCUCCUCCUCUUCCACUUCAAGCGGCACUGCAACCACCGCCAAUUCUUCAGUCGGAAUCGUGGUUCCACCAUUCUUCGAUUCUUCCUCCAUUGAUUUCUACUCUCUUCCUCAACUCAAAAACCUCGUCGUCGAUUGAAAGCAAGGUUGCUACAACUUCGAAUUUUGAGAGAGAGACAGUGAGUGAAAUAAAAAAAAAAGAGAGAAGAGAAGUAGAUUCAUGAACUAAAUAUAACGAUUGGGCCUUUAAGGCCCAUAUAUAUUUAUGAACCUAGCCCAAUUGGGUAUUUGCAAAACUUUGAGCUCCUAAUUCAUUCAACUCCGGUUUAUAUAGACCAUGUCUGAUGUCCGUCUCCAUCUUUUCUGUUUACCGUUAUCUCACUUGUAGCUUCCUUGUAUUAUAUAUUCAUUGCCAAUUCGUUUAAGACAAGACAAAAAAAAAAAAACCAUGAAACUUGUGUUUAGUUUCGCAUUGGUGAGCUGAUUUUUCCUUUGACACUAGUUUCUUGUUGGAUCUUUGAUGCCGCCCUUUGAUCGAUUCUUGGUUGAAUUUUUGUUUUUUGUUGUUGUUUAUUGUAGAGUGUAGACUCAAGAAGUACCCCGAGGUACAUAAACAAACUUCAGAAUGUAUUGGAGCUCUUAUUACAGAUUCAUGAAGUUUCUUUAUAGAUCUGAUAAUUUUUUAAUAUAGAUUAUGAAAAUUGUGAUAUGAGGAGGAUUUAACAUAAGAAAUAUCCAAAGUUUUCUUCUUCAGACAAAAAUUUAUGUACACACAUAUUGUGACUUCAUGAAUUGAACUAAACAAAACUGUUAAGACGGUUUAGAUUGGUUUAGGUUCUAGAAGGUUCUAGAACUUGCCUAUAUCAAUUAUGUAAAGAAUAUAUGUGUAUUAGGAUACUUAACAAGAACACAACCAAUACCACCAGAGUGGUGAUAAUCACAACAAGUAAAUAAGACAAAAUCUUAUCACUUACAUUAUCUGCUAUUGGUUGUUCUUCUUUGUCUUUGGACUCUCAUUCUCCAUAUGUUUCCCGGUCAACCUCGGUUUCAGUGUUUGUCUUUAUCAGGGAGUUGGAGUACACCGCCUUCUCCUAUACCCCAUUUGUCAGAUUCGAUGCCAAACUUAAAGACAAUUUCGGUGAAAGCUGCCUUUGUUUCAACUUCUAUUAUGUACAAAUGCUCUGUUAAAAGGACAGGUAGAUACUUAUUCGCUGCUUCCUCCAUCUUUUUUCCAUCACCAGCUCUAACAACACCCUUAUCAACUAGCAAGACGCAAGCCUUAAACCUCCAGGUUGUAGAAAGCGGCCAUUGAUUAAAUUUCACUGUCAUGGAACUUCCGUUAGUAGCUCGGUAAGUAAAGUAUGCAGGCACUUCUCGACCAGGUAAGAAUGCACGUUUACUACUUGUCUGAAUGAUGAGUUCCCUCGCUUCUUUAUUCAGUUUCAAGCAGUUUGUAAAGUCAACGGAAAAUCUCUGGAUUGUGAAAAGAGCAAUCUAGUAUCUCUAGAGACUCACAAUUACUAGCGUCAAGGUAUGAUAAGGAAUCUGGAAUAUGUGAUAGUGAUACCAACUUCUUGCAUUUGUCGAGCAUAAGUCCCCAAAGACGAUAGUUUCUCUUGACCCAUGGAUGAAUUUCUUGUACUUCUGUAUUGUCCAAGUAUAGUGUUGUGAUGAUGUCAAGAGCAUGUGGGUAGUUUUUGAGGUUUUCGCUAUAUGACAUUUCCAAGCAAUCAAGACGGGACCAUGACUUGAUCGACAAAGGCACUUCUUUUACCGCGGUUCCUUUGAGUUCGAGAUACUUGAUGUUUGUGGAGAUCUCAGGAAAAAGUUUCAAACGAGAGCAAUCAAUGAGAUCAAGUUUUUCUAGAGACUCCAAGUUGAUGUUGAUUGGAAGAACUUCUAGCUUCAAGCAUCCUUUCAAAGUCAAGUAGAGCAAUUUAUGAAGGUUUCCUAUAGAGGGCAGCUUCACCAGACCAGUGCACAUAUCAAGAGACAAAAGAUAGAGAUUAGUGGCAUUUCCAAUAGAGUAAGGGAGCUCCACAAGACCAGUGCACCUAUCAAGAUACAAAUUCUUGAGAUUAGUGAAAUUUCCAAGAGAGUUGGGGAGCUCUACCAGACUUGAGCAGCCUACGAGACUCAAGUGCAAGAGAUUAGUAGCAUUCUCGAUAGAGGAAGGAAGCAUUACUAGACUUGAGCAUCCGAAAAGAAUCAAUCUUUGGAGAUUAAUGACAUUCUCAAUAGAGAAAAGAAGCUCCACCAAACUCGAGCACUCAGUAAGAACCACUUCACGAAGAUUAGUAGCAGUUGAGAGAUCAGGAAGCUUUUUCAGGUCUUUGGAAUAACUAAAAUCAAUCCACUUGAGAUUUCUAAGCGGCUGUACGAACAAAUAAAGGCAACAUAGAAGAACAUAUUUAGUAGCAAAGAAAAUUAAGAAGCUUCCAAAAAAAAAUAACCACACGAAAGAAAACUAAAUUUAAAAACUGGAGACAGAAACAUAACAGCUACAUACCCGAUUACUUUCCCACAACUUAUGAAGUUUGUUGUACCGCAUCUUUAGUUUGACAAGGUACUCCGUAUGAAAAUUUGAAGGCAAACAUGUCAACGGGAAACGUUCCCAUUCUAGUAAUCUCAGUUUUCGAGAAAGAUACUUCAAACCUUGCGGUAAGUAUAAUUUAUCGCUCUGGUCACCAUAUGCAUAGUGGAAUCUUAAGAAUUUAAGAUUAGACAUUCUAUUGAAGGCUCCCUCACAAACAUUUAACUUGUCCUCUAUAUCAGAUAAGUUUAGAUCUAUGCCUAAAACAUUUCUACUACCCUGAAAGAAACAAAUGAAAUAAGAUAGAAACUAUUAGUUCUCAGAUAAAUUAAAUUUAUAGGGAGCAUUGCAAUGAACGAUAAAUGUCAAAAGUCAAAACCUACAGCUGUAUCAUCAGUCAGUACGUCACAAACAUCUUUAGCAUCAACCAAAAACUGACGUUGCCCAGGCUCACGAAUGGACCGUUGCCCAAGCUCACGGCGAACGAUUUCUCUACCCAACUGUACUAGCAGAUUAUGCAUCUCUAUCCUCUCAUCGUCACUGAAUAUGAAUGAUUUUUCAGCUAAAAUAUGAUGGAUGUGCUUCACAUCCAAAAAAUCCUUUGCAAGAAUUGCUUCUAGUAUCUCUGUCGACUCCUCGUUAAAAAAGCAGGCUAUAUGAAGAAAUAAAUCUUUCUCUACGUUAUCUAAGGCAUCGUAACUGAACUUUAAAUGCUCUCAAUCUCUCCAUCAAGGCGAACCUUUAACCUUGGAAGUGUAUUUGUCCACUCCUGCUUAGACAUCCCCCGAAAAUAAGAUCCCAUAACCCUUAGUCCUAAAGGAAGUUGACCUAAACGAAGUGUAACUUUCCAUGCAAGCUCCUCGAAAUCUUCUUUAGGAAACUUUUGAUCAAAAGCAUACAUACAAAAGAUUUGACAAGCUUCAUAUGGUGAUGGAUAAUCCACUUUGUAAAUAUGGUUGAUGCCAUAUUCCUUCAAAAGCUUUUUAUCUUGUGUUGUGAUGAUAAUACGACUUCCAGGACCAAACCACCUAAUUUCUUUUGCAAUAGCAUCUAGGUAUAUUGACCGGUCGAUGUUAUCAAGAACAACAAUCACUUUCUUGUUUUGCAACAUGUAUUGUGCAACUCCUAAAUGAGGAAUCUCGAUAUCCUUGUGGUUGAUAAUCUAGGACACAAACUGUUUCUGUUAGUGCAUCUUUGCACUGUAGUUAUCAGAACACAAUGGUCUUGCAUACAUGUAUCCUUUGAUAUCCUCCAUAAAAGCACUCAAUUCAAAACUGUCGGAUAACUGUUUAAAUAAGAAUCUCGCAAUGGUGGUCUUACCUAUCCCAGGAGGACCCCAAAUUCCUACCAUCCUCACUUCAUCUGAGUCUAAACAUAACUUCGAUUCCAAAUUUUCCAUAUGAGCUCUCAUCCCAACAAAACUAUCAAAAUCACUUGAUGGCGUUGAAUUAUUCAACAUGUUCAAAAUAUCGAUGACAAUUUUUUCAAUCAUGGCGGCUUCAUUAUACCUAAAAAUGAUGGAGGACCAAUCAAUUAAUUCAUAUACACAGUCUUAAAAAAUUCAUAUAUAAAACAGAAAAUUCAUAGUAGGAUUUUAUAUAUAUCAUAUAUACACAUAAUUUGAUGUGUAAAAAAGAUUAAGAGCAGUAGAAGUCAAAAGGACAAACCAGUUGUGAGAAUCGUAACCGGCAAUUGUUGCCAAUUUCGCUAGAGCUUGUCUCCAUCUUCCAAUAACCUCCUUUGUUUUACCCGCACAAGUAUUUCUGAAGACACUCCCAAAAUCUCCAGUGAGUUUCUUUACAUUAGAUGGAUCCACUUUAUAGAAAAUAGGUAUCACUGUUUGACCAAACUCUUCCCUACACUUCAUGAUCUCCACUAACUCAUCAAGACACCACUUUGAAGAACCAUAGUUCCUUGAGAACAAGACAACCGCAAUUUUAGAUUCUCUAAUCGCCUUAAUGAGUUCAGGGCCAAUAGAUUCUCCUCUUCUGAUCUCAUUAUCAAUGAAUGGAAUGAUUCCUUUUCUUCGAAAUUCCUUUUGAAUAUGACUGAGAAAGUCUACGCGGACAUCUUGUCCGUGGAAGCUCGGAAACACUUGGUGUGUCCAACUUUGAGAAGAAGAAGAUGGAGAAACCGAUGAAGGAGGUGGAGAAGUAGAAUUAGUUUCUUCUUUGUCAUCUUGUUUGACAUUUCUAAAAAACGUGAAGAAGCUUAUUGCGGCAACGACAGAGCCAAGGAAAAAAGAAGAAUUCAUUAGUAUGGUGAAGAGUUGAUCAAAAUCCUCUAUGGAAGAAAGAUUAAUAAAGAGGCUUUGUUUUAUAAUAGAUACAGACGUUGAAUAUUUUGGCAGAGAAGCUGCAUGGAUAUUUCAUGGAAAAUUUUGCUAACGACAAAAUCAUUGACCCUAAUCAAGUCUUGUGCACAUCAUAUUCAAAAAAUUUCGUUGAAAUGAAUACUAUAUAAUGUAAAUUGUCACUUCAUCUAGCAUUUUAAAAAUCUUUCAAUGAAAUGAUUUUUCAUAGUUGCUUUUGGUCAACCAAAAUAUUAGAUUUGUGUUUACAAAAAUCUAUAUUAGUAUUUUUUAAGUACAUUUUUAACGGAUGGGUUAAAUUGUUAUCCGAAAAAUUUGCUACCCGAGCCGAUAAAAAAUUUCCUUCAUAAAUUUUACAUCGGAUAGUUCAUAUCUUUUUUGGAUUGGGUCAAAACAUAUCUGAAAUUAUGAACAGGAUAUUACAUAUUUAAAAAUAUAGAUCUUUAGAAGAUUUUGCUAAGAUUUAGAAAUACAAUUCUCUUUUCAUCUUUGUUUGAACAUUUUUUUUACUGUUUUGAAUCAUCAUAUAAUACAUAAAGUGAAAAAAAGAAAAAAUUGGGAUUCGAAAUAUUUGAAAUAGGUACCCAAUUGAUGAAAAAGGUGUGUGAUCAACGUCCCACAUAUCGGCUAAAAUAUUUAGAUAUUGAUUCAGAAUCAUGUUAUAAUUAAGAUCAAAAUGAAUCCAAAAAUAUAUAAAUAAAAUUAUAACGAAUUGUUGUAAUAUUUACCUUUAUAAAAAAACGUUCGAUUUUUUAUUUUUAGGUGAGAUUAUGUCGGUUCAUAAUAACUAUUAUCUAUCUAUUUUAUGGAAUCUUUUUAAGUGUUUCUCAAGAUUGAGCUCAUUAUUUUUCCUCAGACAACUAAUCAACUUGGUUUGAGAUUGGCUUAUUAUUGGUAGAUUUUAUUAUAAUCCCUUAUAAUAAUAGUAGUCCCAACAAAUACAUUUGAAGAUUAUAUUUUUAAAUAUAUAUUUUUGUUUAGUAUUUUUUAUAUAUUUAUAAUUGUUUAAAACUUUAUUUAUUAAAUGUCACUUUUUUAAUUAUGACUGUUCUUUUUUUUUUGUCAUCCGUAAUUAAUUAUAAGCUCAAAAGAGCCAUUCCUGAGGAAUGUUGUUUACAUAAGUGAUGUGAGACGGCUCUGUACGAACUUUUCGUGCCAGAUUAUCCGCUUUAACAUUAGCACUACGAGAAAUUAAAGAUAAAGAGAAGCUUGAAUACUCUUCCUUGUCAUUGUGAAAUUCCUCUAAAUACACUGAAAACGCCGGCCAUUCAGUUGGAGAAGACACCAUCUUCACCAGAUCAGAACAGUCUGUAUAAAACGCCACGUCUUGAUUAUCUGCACCAAUCAUACACUUCAUCGCCCAGAGAAGGGCCUCGACUUCUGUAUGUAGGGAAGACAGACUUCUACGGAGGUUGGCAGCUCCCAUGGUUGGCGGCUCUCCAUUUGACGAUGUACAGAACCACGCUGUACCGGAGAACUUAUCACUUCCUUUCCACGACCCAUCCACAAAACAACGGUACCCUGAAUAAUUCGAAUCAAGAGAAACCUCCCGCACUCGGGAUCGAGUUGUCGAAACAACAGAACCAUGAUUUUCUUCUUGGAGCUCUAAUUGAGCCGCUUGCCAUAAUUGUGCCUCUUUUUCUACUAACCGUAAUACCUCUAACGGAUCUUUAUCUAUAUUUUCAAAGAUUUUUUCAUUCCUUGCUUUCCAAAUAUAUCAUAUAAUCCAUAGAAAAGCUGAAGAAUCAUAGUCUGAAGGUAUUCUCCAAAAUAAGUGAUCCAAAUUUGCAAAAAUAGAUUUUGUGGGAAAAUUUCCCAAAGCCGUUGGAAUCUGUGAAAGCGCCCAAAUAUGCCGUGCCGGGUGGCACUGGAAUAGUGCAUGAUUGAUUGUUUCCUCUGAUGCACCACAUCUGGCACACCCUGUGUCACAAUCCAUUCCUCUUUUCCGUAAAUUUUCCGUACCCGGUACACAACCGUUUAAAAUUUGCCAUAAAAAAUGUCGUAUUUUCGGUGGGCAUUGCACUUGCCAAGAGUGUGCUUUAAGCGGUUUGAUAUCUGGACCAAUAAACAAAAAAUUGGUCUCCGACUUUUCUAUCAGUGUGGUAUGAUAACCCGAUUUAACUGUAUAUUUGCCAGAUUUUGUAAAGUGCCAACCCAGGGUAUCUUCCCUCGUUGGCGCACCCACUGGAAGGGUGCUUAUUAGCGCGACAUCUUCAGGAUCAAAGGUCUCCUUUAAGAGAUCAAUAUUCCAAAAGUUAGACCGGCUAUCGAUAAGGUUGUGAAUGGGUCUGCAAUUGAACCAUUACUUUUUGCUGGUCUCGGGAAUUGAGCUGGAAUCCAGGGAUCCUCCCAAACUGAGAUAGAUGUCCCAGAUCCGACUCUUUUAAUAAGUCCUUUAUUAACCAGAGAUCUAGCUGAGCAUAUACUCCUCCAUCCAUAUGAUGGGGAGUAUGAUUUUAUAUUCUCCAAAGGAUUGGAUUUCCGAAAAUACCGCCCUUUAAAGACCUUUGCAAAAUGAGAAUCUGGGACCGUGAUCAACCGCCAUAACUGUUUAGCUAAUAAUGCUAAAUUAAAAUCAUCUACAUUCCGGAAACCCAAACCCCCUUCCGAUUUGCUAUUGCAUAAUUUAUUCCAGGCCAUCCAGUGCAUACCUCUAGAAUCACCAUUUGAACUCCACCAAAAAUUAGCAACCGCACUAGUAAGUUUAGAAGUGAUCGUUUUCGGUAGUCUGAAGCACGACAUAACAUAAGUUGGUAAUGUUGCAGCUACCGAUUUAAUCAUGACUUCUUUCCCACCUUUCGAUAAAAAUUUUGCCGACCAGCCAUUAAUUCUGGUUUGUAACCUAUCUCUAACAAAAGAGAAAAUCUUUGUCUUCGAGCCACCCAAGCUCUCCGGCAAUCCGAGAUAAGAACCCAUACCACCGAUAUUAGUGAUACCCAAGGUGGCUUUGAUAUCUUCCUUGAUAGCAUCAUCUACCUUAUGUCCAAAUUGAAUCGAGGAUUUUUGAAAAUUAAUCUGCUGUCCGGAGACCGCUUCAUACUUCUUUAAAAUCCCCAAAAUAACCCCGCACUGAUCCUUAUUAGCUUUGCAAAAAAAUAAACUAUCAUCCGCAAAUAACAAAUGUGAAACCGAAGGGCUUGCAUUUGCAACUUUGAUACCUGUAAUUAAUUUUUCCCGUUCUGCUUUCCGAAUAUUCGCAAUUAGCACUUCAGUGCAGAGGAUAAAUAAAUAGGGCGAAAGCGGGUCUCCUUGUCGUAACCCCCUUUCUGGUACUAUUAGUCCUCGAGGUUGUCCAUUAAGGAGAACUCUAUAUUGGACUGUUGUAAUACACCACAUUAUCCAAUUAAUCCAUUUUUCACAAAAACCCAAUUUACUUAAAACCUUCUCAAUAAACUUCUAUUCCACCCUAUCAUAAGCCUUACUCAUGUCCGUUUUAAUAGCCAUGAAUUUCUCUUUACAGGACGGAUUAGUUCUCAACCCAUGAAACAUCUCUUGUGCAAUGAGAAUAUUAUCCGAAAUCAAACGACCUUCUACAAAAGCCGAUUGUGUUUCUGAGAUUAGUGCAGGUAGAACCGUCUUUAGUCUUUGACAAAGAAUCUUUGAUAUAAUUUUAUAACCAACAUUGCAAAGACUUAUAGGCCGUAAUUCUGUCAUCCGUGUCGGUCUUUCCGUCUUUGGGAUCAGACAAAUAUUAGUCGUAUUUAACCGUUUAUCAAAAAUUCCAUCCUCUAAGAAAGAGUUGACCAGAAAAAGAAGAUCUGCUUUUAUAGUAACCCAAGCCUUUUGGACUGUCAUACCAUCCGGCCCUGGUGCUUUUUCCGGAUGCAUCAUAAACAGAGCCGAUCUCACCUUACACUCCGUUGCAGGAGCCGCUAGAAAAUUAUUAGUCUGAUCCGUAAUCAGAGUUUGAACCUCUGCCAGGGCUUCCUCAAAAGCAUCAGGCUUAGUUGUAGUAAAUAAAUUCUUAAAAUAAGAUACCGCUAUAUUUUGAAUAUCUUUAUCCUCUACGGACCAAAUCCCGUUUUCGUUAUGUAAACCCGUAAUUCGAUUCCUUGCCCGUCUUUGUUUGGUGACAGCAUGAAAGUACUUCGAAUUAUUAUCCCCUAAUUUCAUCCAUAAACUCCUACUUUUCUGGUACCAAUACAUUUCCUCAUCUCGAUAAGGCUCUUUUAACCGCAAUGUUAAUUCUGUAAUUUCCUCCCGGGAUCUCCUAUCAUCUCUUUGUGUCUCAUGUAAUUCCUUUUUUAGAUCCUCAAUUAAUUUCCGCCCGUAGGGAGUUAAUUCUUUCCUCCACUGCGAGAUAGCCCGCCUACAAUUAGUUAAUUUUUCCACAAAUUUCCCUUCUCCCAACUCAGUAUCAAAAUUCCAACCAUUUGAUAUUGCCUCUAAUAGUCCUUCCUUCCCGAUCCAUCUCUUGUCAAACCGAAAAUUUUGUUUUCCACGUGGUAUCUUAUCCAUAAGCGUAGCUACCACCGGAGAAUGAUCAGAAGCAACCAUUGGUAAAUAUUCUACGAAAGAAUUACAGAAUAUUUCAUGCCAAUUUUCGUUUGCUAAAGCUCUAUCCAAGCGACACCGUAUUGGUUUUUUAUCCCGCCAACCCCGCCAGGAUAACCAAUCUCCGAUAUAUGGAAAAUCCAACAUGCCGCAAUUUUGAAUCAUUAAAUUGAAGGGGAUAAAAGAAGAUGCAUGUUUUAACUUACCCCCUCUUUUCUCAUGAUUUCCAGUUAACUCGUUAAAAUCACCUAUUAAAAACCAAGGUGUAUCCCGAUUAAGGCCGAUCCGUGUUAACCGUUUCCAAACUUGGUCUCUAUUUUUCGGAACCGGAUCACCAUAAACAAAAGUGAGAUGAAUUGUUUUUCCUUUCACCACAGCCUCAACAUCAAUUAAACGAUUAUUUUCAAAAAUAAUUGAUACAUUAAAAUCAUUAUUGUAAUACAAAGCUAAACCGCCACUACAACCGAUAGGAUCAACCGUUUUUAAAUUUUUGUAACCAAAAUGACCGAUGAAUUUUUCCAUAAACAAAGAAGAUUGUUUUGUUUCCGAAAGAAAUAAAAAAUCUGGCCGGUGUUAUUUCCAUAUAUCCCGAAGAUAACCGAUAGUUGCCUUAUUCCCGAGUCCUUGACAAUUCCAACUCAAUACCUUCAUUUAUCAACCUUUGGCUUUGGUGGUUUGCCACCACCUGCUGUCCCCUUCACCACGACCUGGUUUAUCGGGUUUUUUCUGUCCGUAACUUGCUCCCCGCCUUUUUGGACUUGUCUCCUCCAAGGAGAUGUUAGCAAUUGGGCAUUACGUUUCAUCAAUUAUGACUGUUCAUUUUGUUAUUUUUCAUUUAAGGGUGCGUCUCUUGACCAUAAUUUUUUUUAUGAUCGUGUUUUAUUAUUCUUUUUUUCAUCAUCUCUUUGGUUUAGAUAGUUGUAUGUUACUAAUACCUUAAUUAUAAGUCUUUUCAGGGUUAAUGCUAAAUGAAGCAUUUUUUGAAAAUGAAUAUAGCAAAAGUGAAUAAUUCCCCUUUAAAAACUAUAAAAGUGUUUUAGGGAGUCAUAUUUUCUUACAGUUUUUAAUUACAAAUAUUCUUCAUGUAGUUUUUCACUAUGUGCGUUCAUUUACCAUUCAUGUAUUUUCAAUCUUAUUUAUUGUUAAUUUUCUAUAAAAAAAAAUUAUUUCACUUAUACAUAUUAUUUGUUUAGAGUAUUUAAAAAUUUGGUAAACAUAUAUUCUUUUAAAAUUGAUUUUUGUUUUAGAAUUAUUGAUUUAGCAAAAGAUAUAUUGAUCGUAUUAACUAAAUAACAUGUUGUUUUACGUACAAUUCACCCAAAAAAAAUGUUGUUUUACGUACUAUGAGCGAAUAAAAAUAACGCAACUAAUCAAUCUUUAUGGACAAAAUAAAAAGGAUAAAAAAACACGAGAACAAGAAAUCAUUUCACGUCGGCCCAUCUCCAUUCUUUUUUACCUCGAGUAUUUAGACCUUGUGCAACCCAACUUUUCUAAUCGGUACACAAAUUUGAUCAUUUCUUUGUCAAAAAAAUAAAAUAAAAAAUUGAUCAUAUUCUCCAUAAAAUUAUGAGAAGAUCCAAUUUUCACAUUACAUAAAUUCAAGACUUAAUCUUUUCCAUAUUAAGAAGUAUCAUUCGUCUCUUUUCUGACCCAAUGUAAUUUAUACAUGUUUGGCUCUUUUUUGUCCGAUUCUUUUUUCGUUUUCAACCAAAUUCAAUAAUUUAAAUGUUUGAGAGUCAUCAGAAAACAUCAAACUAGUGGUCUAACCAUGUAUGUGCAUCAGAGGGAUUUUUUCCACAGUAGUACGUAAUACGGAAUAUACAUAUAUAUAAUACCGAAUUCAUUAGCCUCCCCUGCCAAACAUUUCACGUGGAGUGGGAGAUUCGAUGAAGAUUCGGACAAACCCUCUCUGUGAAACUUUAAUAGACUUUUCUAAUUUGGUUAUAUUUCACUAUUAAUUAGUAGAGCGAUGAGAAACUCAAUUUUUAUAAGUUUAUCUCAUAUGCGAAGACAAGAGACCAGAUUCUGUGCAUGGAUUUAACAAAAGAGUGUAUUGCUCCUAAAUAUCUUUUUCAAUCAGCAAAAAGUAUUUAAAUCUUGGAAUUUUAUAUUCUUAUAUGAUAUCUACUCUUUGUUUUUAGACAAUGUCUAUGAUACUUGAACUUAGAUAGAAUUUAUCUUUAAUUAAAACGUUUAUAAAACAUUUUCUUUUAGGUGUUUUUUGUGAACUAUUCAUGGAAAGUCUGAAAUCAAAAUCCAGCCCAAUCAAUUUAAUCGGUGAAACGUUAAAUUGGAAUCUCUAAAUGUAAUGUAGAUUGAUACAAGGAAAAAGUGAUCUAUGAUAAAUCCAGCUUUCAUAUACUGUUCCGUUUUGUUUGUUUAUGUUUUCAUGUUUGCUACGCGUGUUUAUGGAAUGGAACCGACCGAUCAUGUUAUGAACAUUGAUUUUAAUUAAAUUAUCAUUAAAAAAAAACAACUAUAUCGAUUUUUCUAAUUUUCUUUUAACAUCAUUUGGCCUCAUCUACAUUAACGGGAAACCAAUUUUUGAUAAUACAUUUUAAUAUGUAUAUUAUUUAUUUUAACAAAAUUUUAAUUUGGAAGCAGGGACUCGAUCAUUCAUUAUGUCUAACUACAAUGUGUUCGCUAUACAUGGAACUUUUUCUUUGAAAAUGUUCUCGAAGUUCUAGGUACACAAAAGUAGGGUUAGGUGUAGCUUUGGAGACUAUUGGAUCAUUAUUGGCUUCAAGUUCUUGGUGACCUCAACAAAGAGUGGAAGAAGUAGAUAUUUCGUGGUAUUGCUUUGCAUCAGUUAACACUAAUCUAACAAAUGGUCGUUUUAUACUUUUUGUUAAAUUAAAAACAUAAUAUAUAUAUUAUUAUUAUUGGACAAAAUUAAAAACAUAAUAUUUAAAGCAAAAUAAUUGGAGGUUUUAGAUUAGAAAAUUUGGUAAAUUGUGUUUAUCUUUGUAGAAGUCUUUUAUUUGAAUAUUUUUCUUCUCACUUGUCCGAAACAGGCAGCUACUAUGAACACGAGUGAACCCAUGACUAGGCCUACCCAUGACGGUCGAAUUGGUGUAGAAUCAAUGAUUGGUUUGUACAGUUUUAGGAUAAGCCAAAAGUACAAUUACAAUAAAGCCAUGCACGUGAAGUUGCUGUCCAAAUCUAUUGGAAAUAAUAUAAAAAUUUUGCUUGUCCGAAAUGAAAAUGGCAGUAAUAACAUAAAGACAUGAUCACAUGAAUAAUUUUUCAAAUGAAAGCGCAUAUGAUACAUAAAUGUGGAACUCAUUUAGUUGUACCAAAAUCUCAGUAAACAAUAAAUGACUCAAAUGCAUAUUGAGUCUAGUCGUGUAUUUUCUUUUUAUCUUUUUUUUUUGUUUUUUUUGUGUGUGGCCAAGUCCAAUUGCACUUGGGUUUUUGAUUUGCAUUAGUUUGGUUUUCUGUUUCUUAUAUUGUUUGUUUUGGGAUUUUUUUUGUAGCUGAGUAGCUGACAUAAUUUAUCUAGCUUUUUCUUUUCUUUUCUAUAAUUAUAGGUUUUGGAAAACUUAUUUUUUUUUGUUUUGGUAUCAACUUUUUUUUUUCCCAAACAAUACUCUAUAUAUUAUUUCCUACGUUUUUUAUGAGAUAAUUGGCCAGGAGACAAGGAUUUUGAGUCUAAUUAGUUUUUCAUAAACUCUUGUCGUGGUCCAUAACAUAGAAAAUUUCAGCCUCUCUUUUUGCCAAAAAUAGCUUUACGCGUGUUUCCACGCGUCUCUCUCAUUUAUGCAAACUACCAUCUCUCUUGCGUUUCCAACUUCUCUUCUACAUCAAUCCAUCAGUUUUUUAUUUUCUUUCAAUCACUGUAUCUCUUCUCCGGCGACGUUUCUUUUUUCGCCGUUGUUUCUAUUUCUCACAGUCGCCAAGAAUUUUCAUCUUCUUUUACGGUGUGGAGUUGGUUCUUUUAAGAGUCAGUCGGUUUAGUUUCAUCCGUGUUUUUCCGGAGUUUUCUUGAGUCUAAUGAAAUCUUAGGUCGAUUUGGUUUGUUUUUGUGCUCCUAGUCACCGUCGUUGGUUUUAAAUCUACAGUUUCUCCGUCGUUUGCAAAAAAACCCGACCAUUCUAUAUUAGUCGUUUCUUUUUUCCAGAUCUUGGACAUUCACAAAUCAGCAUAGAUCGAUACUUUUCGUGUUGGACAUUCACAAAUGAGCAUAGAUGUAUACUUUCGUGUUUUGCAUGUUCAUAAUUUUGUUGCGGCUCCAAUAACUAACGAAGAUCUUCACCUUUUUCGUCAGGACCAUAGCGGAUCUAGACCUUCCUGCUAGAUUAUUCGCCGAUCGAGAAGAAUAUGUGGGUGAACGUGUUAACCAGUACUUCAAGCUACACAUGGUUAAAGCUGUCCUGAAGGCUUUACAACCGUCGAAGCUUGAAUUGAUUCGGCCGUGUUUUGGGAAAUUGCUCGAUUCACAUCGCCAUUGUUUAUUCAUCGGUAAAAGAUAACUUUCACGAUACAAAUAAGGAUGUAAAACAUUUUUUGGAUCUUCACAAAUAGAUCUACAAUGUAUAGAUGCAGAUCUAAGGAUAUUUGUGGAAAUAGGUCAAGAUUUAGAGAAAUACACUAUAAUACCAAAACAAGAAAUUUUAGAGUGAAAAGGAAGAAGACGAUGGAGCAUAGCCUAUGCAUGAAAGCAAUCAAAACAUGCUUGUUCCUGGGAAAAAAAUUCGAAUUUCAUAAAAAAUUCUCAAUUAGUUAAUGAAUUAUUUAACUAUAAAUUUAGAUACAUGUUCAUCUACUUUCAUAGAGUCAUAUAUUGAACUAUAAGUGCUACAUUUAUUAAUACAUAUCUACGUUAUUAGGUUAGUGGUUUAAAUUUUCUAAUUUUUGUCCGUAAGUUUUUGUUAUAGAUUCAAAUGUAGGUGUCUAAAUACAUUUUCUAUUAGACAUGCACAAAUAAAAUUCGGUGGUGAGUCAUGUAAGGAUCAUUUAUUAGUUCAACUGGUUGGCAUUUAUGAAUUGUCAGAAUGUUAUUUCACUUACUCUUAAAGCCGUGUUGGUAUCGCCCACACGCAUAUAUUUCACAAACUCUGGUUUUUCUGUAAUAAGUAUGUAAAUCAGACCUAUUUUCAUCAAUUAUUAUUCUCUUGUCAGGGAUAAGUCAACCAUAAUAUCGAAUUCCUAAUUUAUGUUCCCAUAUUUCCUUAUGAACAAAUUCACCUUUUUUUUUAUUAAGGUGUGACUAGAUAACAUACUUAGCUGAAAUCAAAUCAGCUGAAAUAUAAUUAUUUUAAAUACUGCUCAAAAAUUACCAAUCAGAAGAAAAGAAAAAAAUGAAUAUUUUAGUUUUUCUCGCUAGAUAUUGUUUGGAAUAGAGAGAGAGAACGUACAAAUGUUGACUCUAGUUUUGAGAAAGUAAUAUUUGCGCUAGUUUUUUUCAUUGCUCUUUCCAUUUUUUUCCUUUUUUCUUUACUUCCAUAUAACUCCAAAAUUUAUCAAUUAGACGUUAAAUAUUGUUUAAGCCUUUAAAUUUUGUUUCAGUAUAAAUGUCGUUUCAUAAUUUCAAUUCAAUGUUUGGUAGAAUUUUCUAUUGAUUGUACUGACCAAUAAAAAAUUUAUAUAAUAUGCUAAUAUAGCUAGGGUAAAUAGAAAAUUGAAUUAUUAUAUAUUUUUUAAUAUAUGUGAAACAAUCUUAAACAACACUUAUAAUAAACGAAGGAAGUAUACUAGUUUUAAUUUAAUGAUUGACACACUAACCGUGUUACAUGUCUUGGUUUCCAUUUGGGUGUCAAAAUUACUAAGACAAAUAUUGAACUUUUUUAACUGACAAAAAAACAUAUUUAGCAUAUGAACUAAGUUUUUAUUUCAUGAAAUGCAACUACGUACUAGUAUUAGGCUGCGUUUGUUUCUUAGAAAUACUUAUAUCUGAAGAAAAUUAAUUAAUUACGUAGUACUAAUUAAGAUAUUAAUAAUAGUCGACAUGGGUUUCCGGACAAAUGUCAUCGGAUAAAAGUUCUUUGCGAAAAGGCGGAGGAAGAAAAGGAGGACGAGUACACAUGAGCAAUGCCCAAUUCACUCCUUGGAAAAAUGGGUGGCGUUUCACGGCCGUUGCACCCAGAGAUGACCCUAACCGUCGGCUCGGGUCCUUGGCCAGUAGCUGAGAGAUCAGAUCCUUGGCCGCGCUUGGAAUAGUUGGUUCUUUCGGGAAUUCGAGGGCUCGAGCCACGAUGUUGGCAAGGGUUAGUUCGUGGUCCAUUCCUUUGAACGGCGUUGUUCCGUAGAACAGCUCGAACAUGAAUAUCCCUAAUGUCCACCAGUCCACCGCACUCCCAUGUCCUUCUCCUGCAAUCCACAGUUCACGUUCCAUGUUAGGAUACCACAUCGGAAAGUUACAUGAAAAUGCUUUUUAUUUCUUUUAUUUUUGAGAAUUAUAUAAAAUUUCCUAAGAAUCAAAACGUUUGACAUAAAAAACAUUCAAAUGGAUAUUGUUUUAAAACUCAAAUCCAAAUCGAAACAGAGGAAAGGAGAAUGAGGAAGAUUUGAAGAAUACCUGAAACAAUCUCAGGAGCCAAGUACUCAUGCGUACCAACGAAGGACAUAGAGCGGACAUCCACAGGCUCGGCUACAAGCUCAGGACCGUUGUUACGGUGAUCAGUUUUCUUCUUGCGCCUUCGGAUUCUCGGGUGAAAGCAAGAGACAGCAGGGACAAUACAAUUAGGGAUCAUGCAAGAGGACGAUGUGGUUUGAUGGUGGUCCAUGCCUUGGUUCUCGUUCUGGUCAGACGAGCCGUUAGGAAGGUUGUUCCGGUUCAGCACUAUCUGUGGUGUAGAAGUCGAUUCAUCACAUUUUAAAGAGAGAUCAAAAUCGGUUAGCAUGAUAUGACCAUCUGAUCGAACCAGCACGUUCUCAGGCUUCAAAUCGCGGUAAACAAUCCCCAACAUGUGAAGAUAUUCAAUCGCCACGAUCACUUCGGAUACAUAGAAUCUAGAAAAUAGUAAAGAGAUGUUGAUUAGUAAUCUGAAAAGAAGGGACAAAGAGAAGAAAACAUGGUAGUGAGAACAAAACGAAUAAUUAAGAUUUGCAAUAAUUUAACAAGAGUUUGUUUGGAAUCUUUGGUUUACAAUUUUAGGUAUUGUGACAAAACAGCAAUUGUUUGGAUUUGGAGACAAGAAGAUGAUGUUUUGGGUUUGAUGUCACUAUACAUAAGGAACAAAAGAGGACCUACAAAGGUUGGUUGGCUUAACGAACUCUUUUGUCUAAAUGAGAGUUCUGGUGCUAAGAAAUUAUCCAAGAUUCCUCUAGCUGACCCUUUUUGUCUUCACGGGUCCACAAUCAACAAACAUACUCCACACAAAACAGAGUAAAAACUGUACAACAGGCGAAUUCUAAAAACAAGUUCACACAAAAGAUAAAACCCAAAUCUUAAUCCGUUCACAUAUGCAUUUCCGUAGAGCCAUUGUUCUUUAUAUCAUUUAAAGAGAAAGCGAGAUUAAAGGGUCAUUUUUCCUUCGAAGGGAAAUGAAAAAUGCAGCUACGUGGAGAGAAAUGGGACCUUGAUUUUUUUGUAGGACAACCUUAAAAAAAAUAGAUAUCUAUUAAGUAUUAAGGAAUCCCUACAAUCAUGAUAAAAGAUUGGACUACAUGUUUUGGUCCCAAUUCUAAAUCAUUUUACUUUAAUAAUAAAGAAGAAACCUUAUAAAAACUCAAUUACAGAAAAAGAAGUAAAAAGUCCUAUACAUAAGAAUUAAGUUGUAAGUGUAACUAAACACACAUGCACACAAAAAUUUCAAGUCACAAGAAUUAAAACAAAAAUGCUCAAUUGGUAAUGACCUUGACUUCACUUGUAGGAUCUUUAACGUGUAAACCACUACUACUUUGUCAUAUGACAAUAACUUAAGAACACAAAUAAAUCAGAGCCAACAUCUACCAAGAACAACAAGAUCCGGUUUUCAAGUAUUACCACGUGAUACAAAUUGGUCCAUAAAUAAUUAUAAAAGUGGCUAACUCAACUAACAAUGAUAACUUCCAUCUACUUCUAUUCUAAGCCACAGCUACUUUUCAAAACUGGUUAAUAAAUUUCAUAAUUUUCCAAAAAAUUCCUCAUUGUGUAGGACCAACCAAUUAAGAUCAUUAGACAAAACAGAAUAUAUUUUAAAUAUUUAAUAACCACCGGUUUUAAAAGGGAAUGGCACUAUUGUAAAUAUUGUUACGAAGAACAAGCUUAGCUGGGAUGUUGUUUGUACUGUAACCACAUGCCCGAUUACAAAAAAUAUUAAAAUUUCAACUUCAAUUGCAUGCUACGUGAUUUAAUUCAAUCACGCGAGUACCACUACAAAACGUACACGUGUCUUUAAGUGAUUUGUUCUUACUUCAAAGUCAAACCCCACUCGUUUUGACUUUUUAUUAAUCGUUAUCACCUACGAUUUACGCACACAUGUAAGUAAUCGUGCAUACAUCUGCUUACAUAAAAUAAAUUUUUUUAAAAACUAUAUAUUAUACAAUGGUUUUAAUUAAAUAGACUUUUUAGUCCCUUUUUUUUUGUAGCGUAAAUAGACUUUUCCUAGUUUAUAAAACAAAAGCAUUUAUCGAGCACAUCAAUCAAUAAAAACAUUUUUCAGUAGCAAAUCUAGAAAAUUCAUUACAAAUAUAUAAGUUAACGUUUAGUGAAAAUUGCCAAAAUUUCGGACGAAAUUACGGAAAUAAAACCUCGAUUGUGUGUGAUUUUCACUAGGAUUAUUAUUACACAAGUAACAAACUUAAUGGGCCUAUGAUAUAACUAGUGCAUAAAUUGCCGUUAAAAACUAGUAUAUUAUAAAUAAAUCGCCACUUUAUGGUUUUUAAUUAAAAAUUAAAAUACACUUUCUAGUCCCUUUUUGUGUGGCGUAAAUAGACUUUUCCUAGUUUAUUAAAAAAAGCAUUAUCGAGCACAUCAAUCAAUAAAAACAUAUUUCAAUAACAAAUCUGGAAAAAUUCAUUACCAAUAUUUAUAAGUUAAUUAGUGAAAACUGCCAAAAUUUCUGACGAAAUUACGGGAAUUAAAUCUAGAUUGUGUGAUUUUUCACUUUAUAUUAUAAUUACGAUAUAAUUACCGUUAAAAAGGCAAUAGUGAUUAAUUAACGGUGCCAUAAAUUCAGUUAUGUGUGUUUAAGUGUUAACUACGAGACAAUUCGCCAGCUGGCGAGUCCCACUUCCCCUGAUUUCAUCAGCUUUUUAUAAUAUUCACUUCUUCAUAAUAAUUACUUCCCAAAAGAUUUUUUUUCAAAAAUAUAUUUUUAGAAACUGAAUAUUUAAAAAUUAAUUACUUAACAGAAACUGUUACCUGACGGCGGAUUCAUGGAAACGUUUAUAAUUCUGUUUUUGACGGAGAACAUGAAGGUCACCGCCGGGACAAAACUCCGUUAACAAACAGAGCCAUUUCGGCGAAUCAAUGGCGGCGUAAAGCGUCGGAAGAAACGGAUGAUCAAGAGAUUCGAGAAUCUCUCUCUCCGUCUUAGCUCUUCCUUCUUUGCUUCUGCUCGCGAGUUCCUUUUUAUCCAUAACUUUCGCUGCUAACAGAGGUAAUUUCACGGCGGUGGUUUCUGUUACGGCGGCUAGGGAUUUGAAUUCGGCUAAGAAAACAGAACCGAUGUCGCCGGAACCGAGACGGAGACGGAAUCUGAGAUCGGAGAGUGAGAGUGAUGAUCGGAGUGAAGGAGGGAGUUUUGAAGAUGAGAAUGAACCGUGAGCUGAUGGUGCUGGAGUUAAAGCUGCAGCGGAGGAGGAAGAGCGAGAACCGGAGCUAGUGCUUCGAUUCACGGUGGUUCCGGCUGAUGUAAAGCUUACACUCUGUAAAUCGUCGGCUAAUUCGUCAAUCCAUGGCUCCAUUUUCCGAUCUAUACAGAGCCAAUGAGUGACGACGAGAGAGAGAGAGAAGAAGAAGAGAAAGAGAGAGAGAGAGAGAGAAAGAAGUAACUGUGAGAUUUUGCCUUUUUGGGGAUGAGAAAAAAUAGAAUCAAAAGAAGAUUAGAGAGAUGAUGGCAAAGUUGUAAUUUAAGGGUUUAGAUAUGACGCGUUUCGUAAUUUAACGUAUUUGCUAAUAUUUCGAGGGAAAAAUGUCGUUUAAUCUCCGAACUUUCAAAAAGUGGCCAAUCAAUACGUCAACUUCUCAUAAGGCCAUUUUAAACAUCAAGUUAUCGUUGACUAAACAAAUGACCCAUUGGAUUGCGUUGACCAGGCCCAUUUGCACAUGUCGUUAACUCCGAUAACAGACCCAGUAACGGCCGUUUAAACCCGUUAACAUUUCUCUGUUAAGGCCAAAACGUUGUCGUUUUACACUUAAACGAAAUCAAAAUCGAAAUCAAAAAUCCCCAAAUUAAACAAACAAAAUCCCUAAUUCCUCUAACCCUAAACCCUAAUUUUCUCCGACGAUCUUCAAUCAGUCUUCACGAAUGCCAUUAAUCAGACACAACGGCGCCAUAAGGAGGGUUGGGUCACCAAUGGAAGGCGAAUUAGAGAGUUUUGGUGCUGGAGUUGAAGCUUCCGAAGGAGAGACUGGAGAUGGAGUUCGUGCUCCACCGGCGGAAGUCGAAGCAGAAUCAGGUGGUGUGGAUGAAGCGACUGUCGGCGUUUUAGAGACUGUUGCUGUUGAGAAAGCUCGAGAUGCAAGACAGCGUCGAAAACGAAGAAGAGCUAGAGACGUAGAAGUUGAUGAUGAGCCUGAGCUGGAUCCGGAGCCUGAUUUGGAAGAUGACUGCGCCGUGUUUGCUGAUGAAGAUAUCAAUGAUGUUGAUGAUGCAGUAGGUCAAGGAGAUAACGAUGAUAACGAUGGUAAUGAUGGCAACGUUGUUGAAGAAGAUCCUAACCUCAACAUUGCUGCAGAUUUUCCAGACGCUUAUAGAGUAGAUGAAGAAGCUGGUUCUGAUUCUGACAGCGGAGAUGAUAUCUGGGAGGACGAAAAGAUUCCAGAUCCUUUGUCAUCUGACGAUGAAGAUGAAGUUAGAGCCGGAGAAGAGGCAGGUGGUAGAGAUGAAGACGACCCAGAGAUUUUGCUAGGUAUCGAGAAGACUUUCAAUUCUCCAGAUGAUUUCAAGCGGGCAGUAUUGAUGUAUUCUUUGAAGACAAGGUAUAACAUCAAACUCUACAGGUCUGAAUCAAUGAUGGUGGCUGCGAAGUGUUGCUAUAUUGAUGAUGAAGGUGUUCAAUGUCCUUGGAGAGUAUAUUGUUCAUAUGAGAAGAAGAAGCAUAAGAUGCAAAUAAGAGUUUAUAUCAACGAGCAUUCAUGUGUGAGGUCAGGGUAUACAAAGAUGUUGAAGCGGUCUUCCAUUGCAGCUUUGUUUGAGGAGAGGCUGAGAUUGAAUCCAAAGCUGACCAAAUACGAGAUGGUUGCUGAGAUAAAGAGAGAGUACAGAUUGGAAGUAACUCCAGACCAGUGUGCUAAAGCGAAGACCAAAGUUCUGAGAGCAAGAAAUGCUAGUCAUGAGACCCAUUUUGCAAGGAUAUGGGAUUAUCAAGCAGAGGUUUGUCAUCGAAAUCCUGGUACUGAGUUUGAGAUUGAGACAAUUGCAGGGGCAUUUAUUGGCAGCAAGCAGAAGUUUUUUCGCUUAUACAUUUGUUUUAAAUCUCAAAAGGAUUCAUGGAAACAACAUUGUAGACCUGUAAUAGGCAUAGAUGGUGCUUUUCUGAAGUGGGACAUAAAAGGACACCUAUUAGCUGCGGUUGGUAGAGAUGGUGAUAAUCGCAUUGUUCCUCUAGCUUGGGCAGUGGUAGAAAUAGAAAAUGAUGAUAACUGGGACUGGUUUUUGAGGAAACUUUCUUCAAGUUUGGGGCUUUGUGAAAUGGCUAAUCUAGCUAUCCUUUCAAAUAAACAAUCGGUGAGUCUUAUGCUUAUGUUUUAUAUGAAUGGUGAUGCUUAUUCUAUGCUUAUGCUUCUGUUUUAUGGUUUUAUUUGCAGGGUCUUGUCAAAGCAAUCCAUACUAUACUUCCACAAGCUGAGCAUCGUCAAUGUUCUAAGCACAUAAUGGAUAAUUGGAAGAGAGACAGCCAUGAUGUAGAGUUACAGCGUCUGUUUUGGAAGAUAGCCCGCAGCUACACCAUAGAAGAGUUUAAUAGUCAUAUGGCAGAUUUAAAGAGGUACAAUCCACACGCUUAUGCGUCUCUGCAACUUACUAGUCCGAUGACUUGGUCCAGAGCCUUCUUCAGAGUAGGUACCUGUUGCAAUGAUAACCUCAACAAUUUGAGUGAGUCUUUCAAUAGGACUAUUAGACAAGCCAGAAGAAAGCCAUUGUUAGAUUUGCUAGAGGACAUCAGGAGGCAAUGCAUGGUUAGAACUGCAAAGAGGUUUCUCAUAGCUGACAGGUUGAAGACAAGGUUUACUCCGAGAGCUCAUGUUGAGAUAGAGAAAAUGAUUGCUGGGGCUGCUAACUGCGAGAGACAUAUGGCCAGAAACAAUUUGCAUGAGAUAUAUGUGAAUGGUGUUGGGUACUUUGUUGACAUGGAUUUAAAGACUUGUGGUUGCAGGAAGUGGCAGAUGGUUGGGAUCCCAUGUGUUCAUGCAACAUGUGUGAUAUUAGGAAGAAAAGAAAAGGUUGAAGACUAUGUCAGUGACUACUACACAAAGCUAAGGUGGAGAGAGACAUACAGGGAUGGUAUUAGGCCUGUCCAAGGGAUGCCAUUGUGGCCUACUUUGAAUAGAUUGGCUGUCUUGCCACCACCUUGGAGAAGAGGUAAUGCAGGAAGGCCAAGUAACUAUGCAAGGAGGAAAGGAAGAAAUGAAACUGCCUCUUCUUCAAGUAAGAAGAAGAUGUCACGGGCAAAGAGAAUCAUGACAUGCUCUAACUGCCUACAGGAAGGCCACAACAAACAAGGGUGCAAGAAUCCAACUGUUCUGAAUCCACCACCAAGACCAAGAGGACGACCAAGGAUAAAUCAUGUAUACACUUGAUCACACUUAUUUUCCAUUAAACUCUUUGAAAUUAUGUAUGUUCUGAUUCUCAUUAUGGUUUCAUUGAAUUAGGAACAACAAGGAUUGUCUCAGCAAGUACAAGGACAAGGAGCUGCGGGUCAUGGAUCACAAGGUUCAGAAGGAUCAAGAGCUGCGGGUCAUGGUUCACAAGGACAAGGAGCUUCGGGUCAUGGAUCACAAGCUUCACAAGGAUCAAGAGCUCAUGGAUCACAAGAACAAAGAGCAUCACAAUCAACAAGAGCUCAUGGAUCACAAGCUUCACAAGGAUCAAGAGCUCAUGGAUCACAAGGACAAAGAGCAUCACAAUCAACAAGAGCUCAUGGAUCACAAGGACAAAGGGCAUCACAAAGACAAGGAUCAAGAGCUCAUGUUGCACCUGGAGCACAACCACAAUCACAAGCUCAACCACAAGCAGAAGCACAAGCUCAACCACAAGAACAAGGACUUGCUGGAUUAGAAUCAUGGUUUCAGUGUUCCACUUAGGUUUUUAGAGUUUCUGGUUGUUUGAACUUAAGCUUAGUCUCGGGGUUUUUGGUUGUUUGAACUAAAGAAUGUAUCUGGUUUUUUGGUUUUUGUUAGAACUUUUAGUCGGAUAGACAAGGAGCAUAUGUUGCUUGCUUCUUCUUGUAUGACAUGUUCCACUUACUGUAUGACAUGUUCCACUUAUUGUAUGACAUGUUUUGUUGUUUGCUUUUGUUAUGUAAUUGUCUCUUUAACAUCAAAACAAAUUCUCAUAGAAAUCAUGUGUACCAUUACAAGACUACAAGAGAUAUUACAAGACUACAAUAGAUAAUACUUAAUACAGAGACAAACUUCAAAGACACAAUCUAAAAACACAUGACCAAACAUCAAAUAACUAGUAACCAAGAACAAGCUUCUGCUUUUUGUUAUAACCGAACAUUAGGAUACCAAGCACAAUGAUAAUAAAACCAAGACACACCAAACAAAAUUUGACCAUCAAUUUCCAUUUCUUGAUUUCCCUUUGACUCCACAUUGCUUCUUCCUUCAGUUCUUUGAUCAUAGCCUGUAACUCUUCAAUCUCUACGGCAACCUCAGAUUUGGCAUUGUUUAUCUCACUGUCAAUGAUGGAGAAUUUUGGCAAUGCGUCUACAAGCUCUUCGUAUACUCCAUCUUCGACCCAUUUAAACAAAUGUUCCUGCAAUUUCAAUCGGAAACUAUUAUCAACAAAACAAAAACAUCAUAAAAUCAAUUCUACUUACAUCUUGUUUCCUUGGACAACGGAAGAAUGGUCUUCCAGGGUUCUGCUUCGACGCCGAUGUAUAGAUGACGACGUCUAACCCGCAAUGACACUUUGAAGGAAACCCACGUCCCCAACGGCCUCUGUCUUGAAUAAUCGAAUUCGAAUUCACUGAAUUGGAACUCAUUUCUUUAGCUCAAUAUAGAGAAUUCGAAGAAGAAGAAGAAGAAGAAGAAGAAGAAGCAGAUUAAGAAGAAGAACAAAAAGAUUAAGAACAAGAAGGAGAAGACUCUAAGAAUUGGGGAUUUAGGGUUUGUUUGUUUAAUUUGGGGAUUUAUUUGAUUUCGUUUAAGUGUAAAACGGCAACGUUUUGGCCUUAACAGAGAAACGUUAACGGGUUUAAACGGCCGUUACUGGGUCUGUUAUCGGAGUUAACGACAUGUGCAAAUGGGCCUGGUCAACGCAAUCCAAUGGGUCAUUUGUUUAGUCAACGAUAACUUGAUGUUUAAAAUGGCCUUAUGAGAAGUUGACGUAUUGAUUGGCCACUUUUUGAAAGUUCGGAGAUUAAACGACAUUUUUCCCAAUAUUUCGAUGGUUAAGGAGAUGAUACAGUAUUCUAUAUUGACAUGUUUUAUUUAUGUAAGUAGACAAUAAUUAGGGAAUUAUUUGAGAGGAUUUUUGGAUCUCUUCAUGAUUUUUUAAGAUCUUUGUUAUUGUAUUUGUUUCAAAAGAGAGAAACAAAGAGACAUAUAAUCUAGGCCCCUACGGAAUUAAGAUAAUGACAUAAACAUAUUUUGUGUUUGUUCUAUUUCAGUUGUGAUUAUUAGUAUUUUAUUCGUAUGAUAUAAUUAUAAAUAAAUAUCUAAUCACUGUCUUUUGAAUAUCAUGUCACCAAGGCACCAAGGACAAGGAUGGUGUCAUUGGCGUACAAUUUGUAUUGUGAACUCAAAUCUCUAUUGCACAAACCUCGGGUUAGUGGUCGCUCUGCCUCAUUCUUCGCAAAAAGAAACGUUUUGCUAUAACCUUUGAAACCAUAUCAUUGAAAGACAAAUUACUCGGGUUGAGAAGAUUGUAAGGUAGGAUUUCAUUUGUUGGAGUCUGUUCCAACUGUUGUUGAGACGAUUGUAAGGGAAGAUGACCGCGGAACUGCGUUUCUAAAGCAUACUCAAAUUUAAUUUUCUUUUAAAUUAUGAAUAAAUUACAGGAGGAUAAUGUUUCUCCGGACUACACCAGAAAAGAAAAAGAAAGACUAAUUGCUCGGGUCGAAACCGAUUUUGUUGAGUCCGGCCUUGAAUCCUGAUACCAAUUUGUAACAUUCGUCUCAAACCGAAAGUUUUCUAGUCAGACCGAAAAAAUACAAGUGUAAGAGAUUCAAAUAAAUUGAUAACUUAGAACAUUCAAAACAAAUCUUUUAAAUGAGGUUUGUAAGUAUAUAUCCGAAUUAAAAAUAAUCAUCAUGAGAGGCAUGACUAAAAUCUUACUGUAACCGUAACCAGACCGUUUCUCAACCGUAACCGGACCAUAACUGUAUAUAACGGUUAAAAACUGUAACCGUUAACUGUAAAAAUAGAUUGGUUACGGUUAAAAAUUAUUCUAAUCAUAACCGUUAAUUAACCGUAAAGUUAUCAAAACCGUUAGUUUACCAUACAAUUAACCAUACGGUUAACCGUACAGUUAAUUUGCACUAUUAACUGUAUAGUUAAAACCUUUAAAAUAUAAUUGUAACUGUGUAUAAUGCAAAAACAAAUAUCGAAUGUUCAGAUAAAGAUUUUCAAAAAAUAAAUGAUACUGCAUAUAAAAAAUCUACAUUAGAAAAGAAGUUUUUUUCUCAAAUAAAUAUGUUGUAAUGUUAUAUUGAUCAAAAUAAAGAAAAUUUGGUUUAUAGUUUACAAAAAAAUAAAAAAAAUAAAUAAAAAAUAAAAAAGAAGAAAAUUUGGUUUAUAACACACAUUUUCAUUUUAUUAAAAAUAGUAGAAAGAAUUAGAUAACUUGUAAGAUUUUGCCUCCGAUAUUAACCAUAUUGUAAUCAUCAAAUAUUUAUAACUGUAUUUAACCGUAACGGCGUAACCGUUAUAAUUGUAUUUAAACGUAACCGUUUUAACCGUAUAUAUAUAGUGGUUAAAGUUACAGUUAAAAAAAAUUAAUAAUCUUAACCGAUGAUUAAUCAACCGUAACCGUGGAAUAACAUACAACACCUUGACUUGGGAAGAAAUGAUGCGGAAUUGUGCAUUCCACAUGAGGCUUAUGCAGCCACAGAAGCUCGUAACAGGCUAAGUCUUAUAGCUCGACCUCUGAAUCCAAGAUCUCAAAACCUUUUCACGGUUAUCUCUUCACUACCAAGAACUUGGGGCCUAACUUCCUCUGUUCAGGGCAGAGUUCUAGAUGGUACGUAUGUUCAGUUCUUGUUUCAAUCUGAAUUGGAUCUUGUUUCUGCUCAACGAAGAGAGCCUUGGUUGUUCAAUAACUGGUUUAUAGCAGUUCAGAGAUGGGUGGAUUUCCCUGGUUUAAACUUUCGGACAACAAUAGAUCUAUGGGUUCAAAUAAGAGGAAUCCCUUUGCAUUAUGUGUGUGUAGAAACAGUGUCAGAAAUUUUUCAAGAUCUUGGGGAGAUAGUUCACAUGGACUUUAAUGAGAUCACUACCAAUCAGAUAGCCUAUAUUCGAGUUAGAGUUAGGUUUGGAAUCUCAGAUAGGUUAAGGUUCUUUCAAAGGAUUCGCUUUGAUGCAGGUGAAUCAGUUGUAAUCAGAUUCCAAUAUGAACGUCUCAGGAGAAUUUGUACCAACUGUUUGAGAUUUAAUCAUCAAAGAAGUCAGUGUCCCUAUGGUCAGCCUCUACAUGAAAGAAGAGUUGAGGAUAUUGAUCAUAUGUUUGCGGGAAGGGAAAGAAGGGUUCUUAAUGAUGAGCAGCAGAGGUCAAACAUGAACUCUCAAUCUCAAAAUUCAGAUUAUUCCUUCCCUGCACCUAGAUCAAUCCCUCCAAGAGUUGCUACACCACCUUUGAAUCCUGCAGAAACUAUGGAUGCUAGAAGGUAUCUAUCCUCUUCAAGGAUAGCUAAUCUCCACCAGUAUACUGUGCCCUAUCCACAAAAUGCAGUCAGAAGACAUCAAGCUUCUUCAAGUUCUAACUCUAAUUCUGCGGAGGUACAUGAGGUUACACCAACAGAAACACGGAGAUUUGAAACAGGUGAAUGUUCAAGGAGAGUUAACAGUGGUGAAGCUUCUCAGCAGGAGGAUUCUUCAAAACGUAAACAAGGUCAAACUGACAAACAAGAAGAUGAGAAUGUGAACCAGAAGCAAAAAGGAUCUGAGCUUCAACAAGGAGGAAUUCUGAAGCCUCCAAAAAAACGUUAAAUCACUCUACUGAUUCUGUCAUCACUUUUUGGCGAUGCUGCUUAAUCGUUUAGGGCAGUCAAAAGGGUUUGAAUAAAAAGAUUUGUUCGAUGAAGCUCUUUGAGAGAAGGAACAGAUAAGAGCAAGUCCAAUGGGGGGGGGGGGGGGGUUUAGAGUUUCUUAGGCCAUGAAUCCUUACGAAAAUUGCCCAAAUUAAAUCAAAAAUAUAAAAUUUGGUAAGAAACGUACCUUAGUUUAGGAUUGUUUUUGGUUUUAAGAGUUCAUACGUGUCAACUUUCCAUUGGUCUGUCUAAUGAGAAAACAAAUAAUUGUUGAAUUCACCAUUUCUAUUUCUCUCUCUGGUUUUGAUUCUUCUUCGUCUUCUUCAUCAACCUCUAGGAGACUCAUGUAGGUACGUACGUAGCUUUGAAUCUCUUCUUGCGUAACCUAAAAUCUUGUAGAUUCCUCUUGAGAGUGAAGCAUUCUCGAGUGAAGAAAUCGCUUGUUUCUCUCGUUUUCUUUCUUCUGUACUGAUUUCAACGCAAACAACAAGCAAUAAGAUCAAGAUCUUACCUGAAUCAAUCACUACAUAGAGCUAUAUAUUUUGCUUUUGAUUACGAUUUUAGACUCAAACUUGUAUUUGAUUAAGCGACAUUUGUUGUUGUCUUUUUGCUUUGUAGCAUUGAGUUUAGCUUAGGAUUGGCUUUUAAUAGAGUUUCUAUUUGAGUGGAAUUGUCAUAUAGAAUUGAUGUCUAGUUAGUGUUUGAUGAAAUUCCUCUGAGAGUGUGUAAUAAGCUUUCUUCUUCAAGAUUGGUAGAUUUGAUAAAUAUUUUUUUUGGUUUUUCAAGAAUCUGUUAGUUUAAUUGCUUGUGGUUGUAGAUAAAAUGUCACAGAAUGCUUGAUUGGCAUGCUUCUUAUGAAUGGCUUCGGGGAGGAGAGAAGGCCAUGCUUGAUUGGCAUGCUUCUGUGACCAAAGAUUCUACUAACAAGGACUAGAAUCCACAAAUGCAGUCUCCUCCAUCACUUGAGGAACCAGAUCCAAAGAGACAAUUUUUUUUUUUUUUUUUAAGAAUCCACUUAAAGACUCUACCAUUGGACAAAUAAAAUUUUAAGGAUUCAUCAAAAACUCUUAACUUUAAAAUUGUCAUAAUUUAUGAUUAAAAUAUGUUUAAAGAUCCUUUUAAGAACUCAACCAUUGUUGUUGCUCUAAGGUUUGCUAAGUAGAAAGAAGUUUCAGAUGCAAGCUACUUUGGAACAUAAUGUGAUUCUAUGUCAACAAUGGAUCUUUUGUUUUUUUGGAUUAUCCAUUGUAAGGUUCCAAGAAUGACUUGUUUGGUAAGUGGAAGUUUCCACAGUUGUACUUUACAACAACAGUUGAUAUAAAAUGAUACCACUUUUGUGAAAAAAAAAAAAAAAAAAACUGUAACUGUUGUCAACCGUGGUCAUGUAGGUUGCCUACAUGAGACUAUGCUGACCUGCCCGCCUAAUUGUGGUUACUAGCUACUGUUUUUCGGGUAAUAAAUUUGUUAAACUUUUUGAAAUGGGCUAUCUGUUGAAAACCUUGGGCAUGAGUUUAUCGUUUUCACUCUUCAUAAGAAAACUUUAAAGACCAUUUGUGUAAGUGUAAUAUUCGACAAAUGUACAAUUGGGCCAACAAGUAACGCAUUUAUCCAUCAACAAAGUACUGAAACAUGAGACGUAACUUGUCAUAGAAGCAGAGCUAUAUAACAACACAACAUAAGAACUGAAACAAACAAAUCAUAAAAGUUAAACAUCGUCGGCCAAAACAGGACAAAUCAUAAAAACUAUGAUGCUAAGUGCUAACCAAAAGACAUAUUCUUAAGAGUAUAGUUGUAUUACCAACUAUAACUUGUAUUCACAUCUAUAACUUGUAUAGUUGUGGAUGACUCUGAGAGGACCUGAACAUUGCGAAUUAUAUACAACAAAAAUAUGUUGCAUUACAGUAACAAAGUGGUGCUCUAAUUCUAAAUCUAAACCUCAUCUAUCUACUCCUAAUUAAACAUUUGUUUAUGUAUAUUCCCAAAUAUACCCCUCUAUUCCUCUGCUUAUUACGGAAAAAGAGUUAAAAGAGCAGAAGAAGAAAACUCGUACAUAUCCCAAAUCUCCAACUUUUCAGGGGAAUGAUGUACUGUCCCAACCUCACCACUUCUCCAACAAUCCCUUCUUAUUUACCAUUUUGCCACCACACUCACUUUCUUCCUUCUCAUUUUCGAUCAUCUGACAAAAACCCGAAUCUCGUUUCGUGUUUUCGAGCAAAACCCAGAAUUUCUCAUUCCCUUCGGUGCUUUGCAUCAUCUUCAAUGGAGACGACUCCGACGCAGAGCAGCGAAACGAAACCUUUCUCUGUUCUUUUUGUCUGUCUCGGAAACAUUUGUCGGAGUCCAGCAGCUGAAGGUGUCUUUAGGGAUAUUGUGAAGAAGAGAGGUCUCGAUUCCAAAUUCAUAAUCGAUUCCGCUGGAACCAUUGAUUAUCACGAGGUAUACUAAUCAAAGAGAAGAACACAAAAUAAAUAAUCUAAUUUUAUGUUUGUGAAAGAAGAUUGAUGGUUGAUUUGCACAAUUAGUGAAUGAUACGAUGCUUUCAGAUGUAGAAAGUUUUGAUUUUGAAUUUAGGGUUUUUGGUGGAUGUAAUUUGGUGGAGUUAGGAGCAGCAGAGACUCUGAAUCAAUUUUGAUUGUGAAACUGCUCUUUUGAAUGGGGAAGAACAAAAAUAAUAAUCUAUUUUUAGGGUUGGAACAAUUAGUGCAUGAUGGUUUCAGAUGCAGAAAUGCUUGAUUUCGAAUUUAUGGUUUUUUUUUGGUGGGAGUAAGGAGCAGUAGAGUGGAGACUUUGGAAUUUAUGUUUAUGAUUUUGUGAAAAUGUUCUUUUAAAAGGGGAAUAUGGCGGAUCCAAGAAUGAGAAGUGCUGCGAAACGUCGUGGGAUUGAGUUAACAUCAUUAUCCAGACCGAUUAAGGCAUCUGAUUUCAGGGAAUUUGAUCUCAUUCUUGCAAUGGAUGACCAGAACAAAGGUAGAGCAUAUAGUAAUUUAUUCAACGUUAAGGAAUUGUAUGGUUAGAUCGAUUAGUUAUGGAGAAUUGAAAUGUAUAUGAAUUUGAAUGUUUGAUGUUUGCAGAGGAUAUAUUGAAGGCUUAUAAUGUGUGGAAAAACAGAGGGAAUUUCCCGCCCGAUGCAGAUAAGAAGGUACCGUUAGUGUUUGUUGUUGUUGUUUGGAACACUUUGGAACACUUUUUAGGCGAUUUUCAAAACACUUUCUUUGAAAUUUUCAGGUUAAGCUAAUGUGUUCUUAUUGCAAGAAACACAAUGACAAGUUUGUUCCUGAUCCAUAUUAUGGUGGAGCUCAAGGUUUUGAGAAGGUAAUCACCAUUAGAGACUAAAGAAGCUGUAUGCAAAUAUUAAAUUUGGUUUACACCAUAAGAGGUUGUCUAUCAAAAUGGUUGAUUUAGUCUAUAAGACUCCCAAGUAACCCUUCCAUUCCCGAAUUUUACUGUUUUGUUUGGACAAAACUCACUUGGAAACAUGAAUCUUGAUCUCUUACUUGGUCUACUUGUUUCUUUCACAGGUACUGGACUUGCUUGAAGAUGCUUGUGAGUCUUUGCUGGAUAGUAUCCCUGUGGAAAGUUGAUGAUACAGCAAGUUCAGAGUCCCACUUUUAUUGUUACUAUUAUUGAGAUUGCUAGCUUUGCACAUACAUUUAUAGUUAUAGACAUCUUAAUGAUUUCAAAGUCUGAGAAUCUUUGAUUUGUUUUUUUAAACCUUGUUAAACUGAACAUAUUCUUAAGAACAUAUUAUUGUUUAUGUUAAUGUAUCAUAGAGGGCGGCACUGUUUACACGAUUGAAUAUUAUUAACUCUUUUGUUCUAUCAUUAUUAUCAGGAGAGAAAGAAUGUGUGGACAGUUUGAUAUUUCCUUAUCAUAUUUGGCUUCCGAGAAAUUCAGUGAAUGGUGGUGGAGCAUAUGUAGGGGCAGUGAUUCUGUCGUUAGCAACAUUUUCCACUAAAUCUCACUAUAUUUUCCUUGAAACAAUCAUGGAGUUUCUGUGCAAACAAAGUCGUCAACGGUCUAGAGCCUCAUUAACACAAAUUGUUUCAACUACAAAACUCUCUGGAUAUUUCUAGUCGUUUCAUGCAUCGGUGAGAUUAUGCUGAUGGUUUUACUCUUCACUGUGGAAUCGAAUUGAUUGGACUGGUUCUUGAUGAUUAUACUGAUGGUUUAUUUGUUUUCAAUUAGUGUAUUGAGCCCAUUUAUUGGUUAUGUGUUCUUGAUUGUAUAUGUUGGUUACAAUCAGCCUAACCAAUGUCUUGCUCAUCAAGACCUUUGGGGCAACGGAUAAUUAUAUUCGGAAAAGACGUGCUCCAGUUUUUUUUUUUUUUUUUGGGUCAAACUAUUCCCCUCAAUAAUGUUGGUCAUUAAUUAAGUUUCAUUUAUACAAUAAUAUAUGGUAAAGGAAACAUACAUGGAGUUUCCCUACCAGGCUGCCAAUAUAGUCAACGUUGUGUAUCCAUUUACACAAAGCCUCUUCCUCUUUCUUAAUCCUUCAUCUAUCUAAGAUCUUGAUUCACUCUAUACCAUACUAAUGAAUUCUGCUUCUUUUUUCCUGGUCUUAGUCGCAGCCGCUAUAGGUUUCUUCAUGCUUUUCAGAAAAUUCAAAUUCCAACAAGAGAGCAAAGAUACUAAAGCUUCUUCUUUAUCUCUUCCAUCUCCUCUAACUUCUGUGUCUCGAAUCUGGAAACAUGAUGUAUUCCCGAGCUUCCAUGGGGCAGAUGUCCGAAGAACCCUUCUUAGCCACAUCAUGGAAUCGUUCAGAAGAAAGGGAAUUGACACAUUCAUUGAUAAUAAUAUAGAGAGGAGUAAGCCGAUCGGUCCUGAGCUCAAAGAAGCUAUCAAAGGAUCGAAGAUUGCGAUAGUCUUGCUCUCCAAGAACUAUGCUUCUUCUUCCUGGUGUCUUGAUGAAUUAGCGGAAAUCAUGAAGUGCAGGGAAGUGUUGGGUCAGAUAGUCAUGACUAUUUUUUAUGAAGUGGAUCCAACUGACAUAAAGAAACAAACCGGAGAUUUUGGAAAAGCCUUCAGAAAAACAUGUAAGGGUAAAACCAAAGAGCAUAUUGAGAGAUGGAGAAAAGCUUUGAAGGAUGUGGCCAUAAUCGCCGGAGAGCAUUCUCGCAACUGGUUUGUCUUUUUGAUUUCUACUCUCCUUAAUUAAUAUUUACUUAUUAGAGUUUAUUUGUAGCUUUCAAAUAAAUAUCAAGACAAGAAAAUGCAUAUGUUUUGGAUGUGUGUAUAUGAGAAUUGUUCAUGACUAGACUAAUUAACAAUUUUACUCGAUAUCAAUCAAUGUUAGGAGCAAUGAAGCGGAGAUGAUUGAAAAGAUAUCCAUUGAUGUUUCAAACAUGUUGAAUUUAUCCAUACCAUCAAGUGAUUUCGAUGAUUUUGUUGGGAUAACAGCUCAUAUGGAAAGGAUGGAAAAGUAUUUAAGCCUAGAUUUGGAUGAAGUAAGGAUGAUUGGGAUUUGGGGUCCGCCUGGGAUUGGUAAGACGACCAUCGCUACAUGUAUGUUUGACCGAUUCUCCAGCAGAUUCCCACUUGCUGCAAUCAUGGCGGAUAUCAGAGAAUGCUAUCCAAGACUUUGUUUGGAUGAGCGUAAUGCACAAUUGAAACUACAAAAACAAAUGUUGUCUCUUAUUUUCAAUCAGAAAGAUAUAAUGAUUUCUCAUUUAGGAGUGGCACAAGAACGUUUGAAAGACAAGAAAGUGCUUCUCGUUCUUGAUGAAGUAGAUCACUCAGGACAAUUAGAUGCCUUGGCGAAAGAAAUUCAAUGGUUUGGUCCUGGAAGUCGGAUUAUUAUCACAACAGAAGAUCUAGGAGUUUUGAAGGCCCGUGGGAUCAAUCAUGUUUACAAAGUGGAUUUUCCAUCAAAUGACGAGGCUUUUCAAAUCUUCUGUAUGAAUGCCUUUGGUCAGAAACAACCAUAUGAAGGUUUCCGUAAGCUAGCUUUGGAAGUUAUGGCUCUAGCUGGUGAGCUCCCUUUGGGAUUGAAGGUUCUAGGCUCCGCUUUGCGAGGGAUGUCCAAGCCAGACUGGGAAAGGGCACUACCAAGGUUAAAAACUAGCCUCGACGGAAAAAUAGGGAGCAUUAUACAGUUCAGUUACGAUGCCUUAUGUGACGAAGAUAAAUAUCUAUUUCUUUAUAUAGCCUGCCUUUUUAUAUACGAAUCAACAACCAAAGUGAAAGAGCUUCUUGGAAAGUUCUUGGAUGUGAGGCAAGGUCUUUACGUAUUAGCUCAGAAAUCUCUCAUAUCCAUUGAUGGAGAAACAAUCAAGAUGCAUACUUUGCUAGAACAAUUCGGAAGAGAAACUUCCCGUAAACAAUUCGUUCGUCAUGGCUUUACAAAACGUCAGCUUUUGGUUGGUGAAAGGGAUAUAUGUGAAGUGCUUGAGGAUGAUACAACAGUAAGUUUUUUCCAUUGCAUCUCCUCUAUGAAUUGAGUUUAUUUGAUUACUAACCAGCAUUACUUAUAUUUAUUUUUGGCUCAUUUUACAGGAUAGUAGACGUUUUAUAGGGAUAAAUUUAGAUUUAUCUAAGACUGAGGAAGAAUUGAAUAUAAGUGAGAAAGCACUUGAAAGAAUGCAUGAUUUUCAAUUCGUUAGAAUCAAGGAUAAGAAUCGUGCUCAGACUGAGAGACUGCAGUCAGUACUGGAAGGUCUGAUUUAUCAUUCUCAAAAGAUUAGAUUACUGGAUUGGAGUUAUUUCCAGGAUAUAUGUUUGCCUUCUACUUUUAAUCCGGAGUUUCUCGUCGAACUAACUCUGAAAUACAGCAAGCUUCAAAAGCUAUGGGAAGGAACUAAAGUAAGUAGUUUUGAUUAAAACUUUCAAUUUUCAAUUUUGUAAAAAUCUAUAAUUUGUUUCCGAAAAUGUUUUUUCUUAACAAACUCCAAAUUUAUAGGCCAAUCGUAUCAACAUGAUCUUCUUUGUCAAAUGCAGAAACUUAAAAAUCUCAAAUGGAUGGAUUUGGGUGGUUCUGAAGAUCUAAAAGAGCUUCCCGAUCUUUCAACAGCAACUAAUCUCGAAGAAGUAAAUCUCCGAAAUUGCUCAAGUUUAGUGGAACUUCCGUCUUCAAUUGGGAAUGCAACCAAACUUGAGCUACUGAAUCUUGAUGAUUGCUCGAGUCUUGUGAAGCUUCCAUCCUCUAUCAAUGCCCCUAAUCUGCAGAAAUUGUCUCUAAAUAAUUGUUCACGUAUAGUGGAGCUUCCCGCUAUCGAGAACGCAACUAGUCUCCGGAAAUUGUUUCUCGUUAAUUGCUCAAGUCUGGUGAGAAUCCCUUCUUCUAUUCAGAAUGCGACCAAUCUCCGGGAAUUUGAUCUCACAGAUUGCUCAAAUCUUGUGGAGCUUCCAUCUAUUGGGGAUGCAAUCAAACUUGAGCGACUGUGUCUUGAUAAUUGCUCAAAUCUUGUGAAGCUUUUCUCCUCUAUCAAUGCAACUAAUCUCCAUAAAUUUUCUCUAAGCGAUUGCUCAAGUCUUGUGGAGCUCCCCGAUAUCGAGAAUGCGACUAAUCUCAAGGAAUUAAUUCUCCAAAAUUGCUCAAGUCUACUAGAGCUCCCUCCUUCUAUUGGAACUGCCACAAAUCUGAAGAGAUUGAAUAUUAGCGGAUGCUCAAGUCUCGUGAAACUCCCCUCCUCUAUUGGAGAUAUCACUAAUCUCCAGGAAUUGUAUCUCAAUAAUUGUUCACGUGUUGUGGAGCUCCCCGAUAUCGAGAAUGCGACUAAUCUCAAGGAUUUAAUUCUCCAAAAUUGCUCAAGUCUACUAGAGCUCCCUCCUUCUAUUGGAACUGCCACAAAUCUGAAGAGAUUGAAUAUUAGCGGAUGCUCAAGUCUCGUGAAACUCCCCUCCUCUAUUGGAGAUAUCACUAAUCUCCAAGUGUUUGAUCUAUCCAACUGCUCAAGUCUACUAGAGCUCCCUCCUUCUAUUGGAACUGCCACAAAUCUUUGGAGAUUGAAUAUCAGUGGAUGCUCAAGUCUCGUGAACUCCCCUCCUCUAUUGGGGAUAUGACUAAUCUCGUAGCUUUUGAUCUAUCCAACUGCUCAAGUCUUGUGGAGGUUCCAUCCGCUAUAGGAAAACUUCAAAAAUUGUCUGAGUUGAAAAUGAGAGAAUGCUCAAAGCUAGAGGCUCUUCCAACAAAUAUCAACUUGGAAUCUCUCCGUACACUUGAUCUCACAAAUUGCUCCCAGUUGAAAAGAUUUCCUGAGAUCUCCACAAACAUUAAGUAUCUCAGGCUCACAGGAACUGCAAUAAAAGAAGUUCCUUUGUCGAUCAUGUCAUGGUCUCGUCUUUAUGACUUUGGGAUUUCAUACUUUGAAAGCCUCAAGGAAUUCCCGCAUGCUCUUGACAUCAUCACGGAGCUGCAGUUGAACGAAGAUAUACAAGAGGUUGCUCCAUGGGUCAAGGGAAUGUCUCGUUUACGUAAACUCAAGCUCUACAACUGCAACAAUCUGGUAUCACUCCCCCAACUUUCAGAUUCCCUAUCUUACUUAGAUGCAGAUAAUUGUCAAUCCCUUGAGAGACUGGAUUGUACCUUUAACAAUCCAGAUAUUCGUCUCAAAUUCUCCAAAUGCUUCAAUUUGAAUCAAGAAGCCAGAGAUCUUAUCAUGAACACAUCGACUUUUCAUCCUGCGAUCAUAUCAUGUACACAAGUGCCUGCCUGCUUCAAUCACCUGGAGAUGUUACCGGAUAGUUCUGGGGGUUCCUUGACAAUCAAGUUGAAUGAGUCGCCUCUUCCCACAUCCUUGAGAUUUAAGGCUUGUUUCAUGCUGGUUAUGGGUAACGAAGAAACUGGUGCUGAUAAGAGUUUGAUGGAAGUAAUGAUUAACAUCAGGGACAAACAGAAUGAUCUCAAAGUUCGGUGUACACCAAGCCUUUAUAGUAUACAGCCACUUUUAACAGAGCAUAUAUACACAUUUGAAGUUGAAACAGAGGAGGUGACUUCCACCGAGCUUGUCUUUGAGUUCAAAACACGCUAUAGCAAAUCUUGGAGGUCCCUUCCUGAUUGGAAGAUCAAAGACUUGGGGAUAUCUUGGAGGUCCCUUCAUGAUAGCAAUUGGAAGAUCAAAGACUUGGGGAUAUCUUGGAGGUCCCUUCAUGUAGAUGAGCGUCGAUGGGAUACUGUUAGAAAUUUUAACCCAUUUUCAUCUUUAAUUUAUUUGAAGUUUAUGACGUUGUACGUGUGAAAGAUUAUCAAUGUGCAGUGUUGGGUUAUGUUUAAAAUUUAAAUUAAUUGCAGUGAAGAAGAUAUAUGCAAACAAGGACGGUGAAGAUAAGAGACGAGGAAGAGAAGAAGCUGUUGAGACUUUAAAAUUCAUGUAUUGAAAGCAAGAUUGAAUUUCCCACCUGAUGCAGAUAAAAAGGUACCUUUGGUGUUUGUUGUUUGCUGGACUUUUGAAUUCUUCUUUUGGGAGAUUUUAGAACUGCUUUCAUUGAAUUUUCAGUUUAAGCUAAACAUGUAUUAGGAUGGAGCAAUAUCAAGUGGAAGAUAGGAGAAUGCGGGAUACUCCAAACCUUGGAGGUUCCUUCGUGUUAAUGAACAUGGUGAGGUUAAAAACUUUUAUCCCAUUUCCAUCGUUAAUUAUGUGAUUCUAUAAGUUUUAAAAUUUGUGCAUAAUUGAUACUAAUUGCAGAUAAGGAGAUAUAUGCAAACAAAGAUAGAGAUGUUAAAACCGUAUUUUCAGAUUUGUUUUCAUUUUUAAGUUAAUGUGUUGUCUCUCUGUAACAAAUGAGCCUCUUUUUAUUGAAUAUAUAUACAAUAGAAGGGAAAAAAAACAACCCAGAAAUACA
rnacentral:lncRNA from 1 species